rnacentral:lncRNA from 1 species
UGGAGUUUUGGGUUGGAAAGAAAACCUGCAGCCUCUCGGCCCUCCAUGGCACAUGAUUGCCCACCCCUGGUCUAGACUGUGGUCAACACCAGUUCUGAUUGAAAAUAGUCAAGGUGGAGGCUACAGAUUCAUACAAGUAUCUCAGACUGUGUCUGGUACCUCUCUUCUUCAUCUAUUUCUAAUUAUGAUUCAAACCAUAAUUUAUGAUAAUUAGCUUAAACUGUAUAGUGUGUUUCUGAGGACACUGAAAUAAUAGACCUGGGUUACAAACCAAUGAAAUUAUUCCACAGAGUAAAACAGGAUUAUUCCAGUGCUAACAAAGUGAUCUGUGUUCAACAGGUCACUCUGCCGAAUCACUAAACAGGCUCUCUUAAUGGAUCUAGUAUGAGAAAGCUGUGCUGUCAUAUUGAGUACACUUCCUUUUGAAUGAACGCAUUUAAUCAGUGUUCAUCUGAAAGAGCUGACACAGAUCAACAGGCAGAUCAGUUCUUACAGUGUUUGUGAAACAAGCUUGUUGCAGCUAGAGUCAGAAAGAGGACUCAGGAUCCUGUUCAAGCACAGAACUCAUUCCCAUUAGGAAAAACAAACAUUUACAGAGAUGUAGCAGCAUCACAGUGUUUGGAGCUGAUGUAAGCAGCACAGUCUCACCUGCUCAGAAAAUGUAAUUAAAGAUCAUAUUCAGGGGUAGAUGAUCAUAUUUCUCUAUUACUCCCAGGUCCGGAUGCAGUCAUUUAAAGAAUGACGGAUGCACCUCCACCAUGGGCUUAUGAACUAAAUCAGAUUGCAUCCAGACUGCGGUGCUUCAUCAUAGAGUUAAUUAGACUCAAACUUCCAGAAAGUAUAAUUAAAAUAAUUAUCUUUUAUCACUCUGAAGUACGUGACAGUUCUGAUCUCUCCAUGUGGAAUUUUAAAGACGGGGAGUGGAAAUUAAAGACACCAAAAAAAAGAGUCACAUGCUAGCACAUGUUAUUGGGCCAGAUUUACUGCUACUUUUACGCAUAAGAAGACACUCAAAUAACUUCAUCAGUGACAGCAGCUGAGGACUGGUUACCAUAGUUACUGGAGUGACAGUUUUAGCAUGCAGGGGGUCAGUGUUCCCAGCGAAUCAUUAUUCACUGGUUAGUAUUCAUAAGACUUUGUUGUCCUUCAGACCCACCGCAUCUCACGUAUUUGCAUUUCUGCGGCUUGGAAAGAAGGUACAACCUCUCUUCUCCUGCCAAUGUUUAUUUUAACAAGUGCGUAUCUCAGAAGAAUAAAUCAGCCACUCUUAGAGCACAUAAAAGAGAGGAUUUGAAACAAAAGGGGGAUUUCAUUGGAAAUCCUUCAUCAGCAAUACAAGAAAGAGACAAUGAAGAAACCAGUGUAACAAAAACAAUGCCCUUCUGUGCUCCAUUUCUCUCAAGACCAACAGAACAUAUCAUGGCCCCUAGCUGACUGGAGUGAUAACAUGAUGAGGUUUGAACUCCAGCAUUGCAAAAACCAAUGCAUUUCAGCUUGUGACCCUCAGGGCCAUUAGAAAACACAUUUCAAACAACAUGCAAUUGGGACAGCUGUGGUGCCAAUCUCCUCCUGCAGAUGUGUGUCUGUUUCAGGGUUUAGAUGUAUUUUUGAGGUAAGAAAGGGAUGGGUCCUGUGCUCAAGUUUUGUCUGGUGCAGGGUUUGAGUAGUAACCUACCGGAGGCAAAAAAGGUGUAAAGGGAGAUGAGAGUCAGAGUUCAUGUUCUCUUUCAUCUCCAGAUCAUACAAUUUGGAAACUUGUAUGAUGAUGUCAGAGGACAGGAAAUGAAAGUAUGUGAGAUCUGUCUCCUACAGUGCAUCCAGAAAGUAUUCAUAGCCCAACACUUUUUUCACAAUUUCUUGUCUUAUAGCCUUGUUGUAAAAUGGAAUAAAUUCAUGUUUCACCUCAAAAUUCUAUGCAAAAUACCUCAUUAUGGCAAAGUGAAAAAUUUUUGUCUGGGACAUUUUUAAAUUUAUUGAAAAUAAAAAUCAAAAAUAACAUGCACAUUAGUACUUUUGUGUGCUACUAUUCAUCCCUAUGGUCAAUCAAAAGCCCGGCCCUUCCUGCAGAACAAAACUUCGCAGUUUGUACCCAACAGGCAUUGCCAGAGAUCCAGAACUGACAAUCAGGACUUUUAGGCUGGUUGAAAAAAAUAACAACUUGUUGUUGGAAGAUAAAGGAGGAGUUAAUCUUGUUUGUAUUUGUACAUUUUGAGUGAUGGAGUUGACAGAUGAAGACAAGGCUUGGCAUUAUUUCAAUGUGAUUAGACCAAGAACAUUGCUCACACCAAUGAAAAGCACAUCCUUCGAGCCGGAGUUGAACCAGCGACCUAAGGAUCAAAGCGAUUACAUUCAGGAACAUACUACAGUCCUCCGCUCUACCAACUGAGCUAUCGAAGGGUGCUGGGGCAACAAUGGCAGAAAACACAGUGGCUGAGACAACACACUAUGCCAACAGGACUCUUCGUCCCAAUGGUCAAUCAUAAGCCCAGCCCUUUCCAGCAGAACAAAGCUCAGCAGUUUGUACCCAACAGGCAUUGCCACGGACCCAGAACUGAUAAUCAGGACUUUUAGGCUGGUUGAAAAAAAUAACAACUUGUGGUUGGAACAUAAAGGAGGAGUUAAUAUUGUUUGUGUUUGUAAAUUUUGAGUGAUGGAGUUGACAGAUGAAGACAAGGCUUGGCAUUAUUUCAAUGUGAUUAGACCAAGAACAUUGCUCACACCAAUGAAAAGCACAUCCUUCAAGCCGGAGUUGAACCAGCGACCUAAGGAUCAAAGCGAUUACAUUCAGGAACAUACUACAGUCCUCCGCUCUACCAACUGAGCUAUCGAAGGGUGCUGUGGCAACAAUGUCAGAAAACACAGUGGCUGAGACAACACACUAUGCCAACAGGACUCUUCGUCCCAAUGGUCAAUCAUAAGCCCAGCCCUUCCUGCAGAACAAAGCUUCGCAGUUUGUAAAGAAACAGGCAUUGCCACGGACCCAGAACUGAUAAUCAGGACUUUUAGGCUGGUUGAAAAAAAUAACAACUUGUGGUUGGAACAUAAAGGAGGAGUUAAUAUUGUUUGUGUUUGUACAUUUUGAGUGAUGGAGUUGACAGAUGAAGACAAGGCUUGGCAUUAUUUCAUGGUGAUUAGACCAAGAACAUUGCUCACACCAAUGAAAAGCACAUCCUUCGAGCCGGAGUUGAACCAGCGACCUAAGGAUCACAGGGAUUACAUUCAGGAAGAUUCUACAGUCCUCCGCUCUACCAACUGAGCUAUCGAAGGGUGCUGUGGCAACAAUGGCAGAAAACACAGUGGCUGAGACAACACACUAUGCCAACAGGACUAUUCAUCCCAAUGGUCAAUCAAAAUCCCAGCCCUUCCUGCAGAACAAAGCUCAGCAGUUUGUACCCAACAGGCAUUGCCAGGGACCCAGAACUGAUAAUCAGGACUUUUAGGCUGGUUGAAAAAAAUAACAACUUGUGGUUGGAACAUAAAGGAGGAGUUAUCUUGUUUUUGUUUGUACAUUUUGAGUGAUGGAGUUGACAGAUGAAGACAAGGCUUGGCAUUAUUUCAAUGUGAUUAGAACAAGAACAUUGCUCACACCAAUGAAAAGCACAUCCUUCGAGCCGGAGUUGAACCAGCGACCUAAGGAUCACAGCGAUUACAUUCAGGAACAUUCUACAGUCCUCCGCUCUACCAACUGAGCUAUCGAAGGGUGCUGUGGCAACAAUGUCAGAAAACACAGUGGCUGAGACAACACACUAUGCCAACAGGACUAUUCAUCCCAAUGGUCAAUCAAAAUCCCAGCCCUUCCUGCAGAACAAAGCUCAGCAGUUUGUACCCAACAGGCAUUGCCAGAGAUCCAGAACUGAUAAUCAGGACUUUUAGGCUGGUUAAAAAAAAUAACAACUUGUGGUUGGAACACAAAGGAGGAGUUAAUCUUGUUUGUGUUCGUACAUUUUGAGUGAUGGAGUUGAUAGAUGAAGACAAGGCUUGGCAUUAUUUCAAUGUGAUUAGACCAAGAACAUUGCUCACACCAAUGAAAAGCACAUCCUUCGAGCCGGAGUUGAACCAGCGACCUAAGGAUGACAGCGAUUACAUUCAGGAACAUUCUACAGUCCUGCGCUCUACCAACUGAGUUAUCGAAGGGCGCUGGGGCAACAAUGGCAGAAAACAUAGUGGCUGAGACAACACACUAUGCCAACAGGACUCUUCAUCCCAAUGGUCAAUCAUAAGCCCAGCCCUUCCUGCAGAACAAAGCUCAGCAGUUUGUACCCAACAGGCAUUGCCAGAGACCCAGAACUGAUAAUCAGGACUUUUAGGCUGGUUGAAAAAAAUAACAACUUGUGGUUGGAAGAUAAAGGAGGAGUUAAUAUUGUUUGUGUUCGUACAUUUUGAGUGAUGGAGUUGAUAGAUGAAGACAAGGCUUGGAGCAGGAGUUGAACUAGCAACUACAGGAUCACAGCCUACAGUCCUCCGCUCUACCAACUGAGCUAUCGUAGGGUGCUGGGGCAACAAUGGCAGAAAACACAGUGGCUGAGACAACACACUAUGCCAGCAGGACCUUUCAUCCCUAUGGUCAAUCAAAAUCCCAGCCCUUCCUGCAGAACAAAGCUCAGCAGUUUGUACCCAACAGGCAUUGCCAGGGACCGAGAACUGAUAAUCAGGACUUUUAGGCUGGUUGAAAAAAAUAACAACUUGUGGUUGGAACAUAAAGGAGGAGUUAUCUUGUUUUUGUUUGUACAUUUUGAGUGAUGGAGUUGACAGAUGAAGACAAGGCUUGGCAUUAUUUCAUGGUGAUUGGACCAAGAACAUUGCUCACACCAAUGAAAAGCACAUCCUUCGAGCCGGAGUUGAACCAGCGACCUAAGGAUGACAGCGAUUACAUUCAGGAACAUUCUACAGUCCUCCGCUCUACCAACUGAGCUAUCGAAGGGUGCUGUGGGAGCAAAUGCAGAAAACACAGUGGCUGAUACAACACACUGUGCCAACAGGACUCUUCGUCCCAAUGGUCAAUCAUAAGCCCAGCCCUUCCUGCAGAACAAAGCUUCGCAGUUUGUACCCAACAGGCAUUGCCAGAGACCCAGAACUGAUAAUCAGGACUUUUAGGCUGGUUGAAAAAAAUAACAACUUGUGGUUGGAAGAUAAAGGAGGAGUUAAUAUUGUUUGUGUUUGUACAUUUUGAGUGAUGGAGUUGAUAGAUGAAGACAAGGCUUGGAGCAGGAGUUGAACUAGCAACCCAAGGAUCACAGCCUACAGUCGUCCCCUCUACCAAGUGAGCUAUCGAAGGGUGCUGGGGCAACAAUGGGAGAAAACACAGUGGCUGAGACAACACACUAUGCCAGCAGGACCUUUCAUCCCUAUGGUCAAGCAAAAUCCCAGCCCUUCCUGCAGAACAAAGCUCAGCAGUUUGUACCCAACAGGCAUUGCCAGGGACCGAGAACUGAUAAUCAGGACUUUUAGGCUGGUUGAAAAAAAUAACAACUUGUGGUUGGAAGAUAAAGGAGGAGUUAAUAUUGUUUGUGUUUGUACAUUUUGAGUGAUGGAGUUGAUAGAUGAAGACAAGGCUUGGAGCAGGAGUUGAACUAGCAACCCAAGGAUCACAGGCUACAGUCCUCCCCUCUACCAACUGAGCUAUCGUAGGGUGCUGGGGCAACAAUGGCAGAAAACACAGUGGCUGAGACAACACACUAUGCCAGCAGGACCUUUCAUCCCUAUGGUCAAUCAAAAUCCCAGCCCUUCCUGCAGAACAAAGCUCAGCAGUUUGUACCCAACAGGCAUUGCCAGGGACCCAGAACUGAUAAUCAGGACUUUUAGGCUGGUUGAAAAAAAUAACAACUUGUUGUUGGAACAUAAAGGAGGAGUUAUCUUGUUUUUGUUUGUACAUUUUGAGUGAUGGAGUUGACAGAUGAAGACAAGGCUUGGCAUUAUUUCAAUGUGAUUAGACCAAGAACAUUGCUCACACCAAUGAAAAGCACAUCCUUCGAGCCGGAGUUGAACCAGCGAUCUAGGGAUCACAGCGAUUACAUUCAGGAACAUCCUACAGUCCUCCGCUCUACGAACUGAGCUAUCGAAGGGUGGUGGGGGAACAAAUGCAGAAAACAUAGUGGCUGAGACAACACACUAUGCCAACAGGCCUAUUCAUCCAAAUGGUCAAUCAUAAGCCCAGCCCUUCCUGCAGAAAAAAGCUCAGCAGUUUGUACCCAACAGGCAUUGCCAGAGAUCCAGAACUGAUAAUCAGGACUUUUAGGCUGGUUGAAAAAAAUAACAACUUGUGGUUGGAACACAAAGGAGGAGAUAAUCUUGUUUGUGUUCGUACAUUUUGAGUGAUGGAGUUGAUAGAUGAAGACAAGGCUUGGCGAGGGAGUUGAACUAGCAACCCAAGGAUCACAGCCUACAGUCCUCCGCUCUACCAACUGAGCUAUCGUAGGGUGCUGGGGCAACAAUGGCAGAAAACACAGUGGCUGAGACAACACACUAUGCCAGCAGGACCUUUCAUCCCUAUGGUCAAUCAAAAUCCCAGCCCUUCCUGCAGAACAAAGCUCAGCAGUUUGUACCCAACAGGCAUUGCCAGGGACCGAGAACUGAUAAUCAGGACUUUUAGGCUGGUUGAAAAAAAUAACAACUUGUGGUUGGAACAUAAAGGAGGAGUUAUCUUGUUUUUGUUUGUACAUUUUGAGUGAUGGAGUUGACAGAUGAAGACAAGGCUUGGCAUUAUUUCAUGGUGAUUAGACCAAGAACAUUGCUCACACCAAUGAAAAGCACAUCCUUCAAGCCAGAGUUGAACCAGCGACCUAAGGAUCACAGCGAUUACAUUCAGGAACAUUCUACAGUCCUCCGCUCUACCAACUGAGCUAUCGAAGGGUGCUGUGGGAGCAAAUGCAGAAAACACAGUGGCUGAGACAACACACUGUGCCAACAGGACUCUUCGUCCCAAUGGUCAAUCAUAAGCCCAGCCCUUCCUGCAGAACAAAGCUUCGCAGUUUGUACCCAACAGGCAUUGCCAGAGACCCAGAACUGAUAAUCAGGACUUUUAGGCUGGUUGAAAAAAAUAACAACUUGUGUUGGAAGAUAAAGGAGGAGUUAAUAUUGUUUGUGUUUGUACAUUUUGAGUGAUGGAGUUGACAGAUGACGACAAGGCUUGGCAUUAUUUCAUUGUGAUUAGACCAAGAACAUUGCUCACACCAAUGAAAAGCACAUCCUUCGAGCCGGAGUUGAACCAGCGACCUAAGGAUCACAGCGAUUACAUUCAGGAACAUUCUACAGUGCUCCGCUCUACCAACUGAGCUAUCGAAGGGUGCUGGCCCAACAAUGGCAGAAAACACAGUGGCUGAGACAACACACUAUGCCAACAGGACUAUUCAUCCCAAUGUUCAAUCAAAAUCCCAGCCCUUCCUGCAGAACAAAGCUUCACAGUUUGUACAGAAACAGGCAUUGCCAGAGACCCAGAACUGAUAAUCAGGACUUUUAGGCUGGUUGAAAAAAAUAAUAACUUGUGGUUGGAACAUAAAGGAGGAGUUAUCUUGUUUUUGUUUGUACAUUUUGAGUGAUGGAGUUGACAGAUGAAGACAAGGCUUGGCAUUAUUUCAAUGUGAUUAGACCAAGAACAUUGCUCACACCAAUGAAAAGCACAUCCUUCGAGGUGGAGUUGAACCAGCGACCUAAGGAUCACAGCGAUUACAUUCAGGAACAUUUUACAGUCUUCCGCUCUACCAACUGAGCUAUCGUAGGGUGCUGGGGCAACAAUGGCAGAAAACACAGUGGCUGAGACAACACACUAUGCCAGCAGGACCUUUCAUCCCUAUGGUCAAUCAAAAUCCCAGCCCUUCCUGCAGAACAAAGCUCAGCAGUUUGUACCCAACAGGCAUUGCCAGGGACCGAGAACUGAUAAUCAGGACUUUUAGGCUGGUUGAAAAAAAAAAACAACUUGUGGUUGGAACAUAAAGGAGGAGUUAUCUUGUUUUUGUUUGUACAUUUUGAGUGAUGGAGUUGACAGAUGAAGACAAGGCUUGGCAUUAUUUCAUGGUGAUUAGACCAAGAACAUUGCUCACACCAAUGAAAAGCACAUCCUUCGAGCCGGAGUUGAACCAGCGACCUAAGGAUCACAGCGAUUACAUUCAGGAACAUUCUACAGUCCUCCGCUCUACCAACUGAGCUAUCGAAGGGUGCUGUGGGAGCAAAUGCAGAAAACACAGUGGCUGAGACAACACACUGUGCCAACAGGACUCUUCGUCCCAAUGGUCAAUCAUAAGCCCAGCCCUUCCUGCAGAACAAAGCUUCGCAGUUUGUACCCAACAGGCAUUGCCAGAGACCCAGAACUGAUAAUCAGGACUUUUAGGCUGGUUGAAAAAAAUAACAACUUGUGGUUGGAAGAUAAAGGAGGAGUUAAUAUUGUUUGUGUUUGUACAUUUUGAGUGAUGGAGUUGACAGAUGAAGACAAGGCUUGGCAUUAUUUCAUUGUGAUUAGACCAAGAACAUUGCUCACACCAAUGAAAAGCACAUCCUUCGAGCCGGAGUUGAACCAGCGACCUAAGGAUCACAGCGAUUACAUUCAGGAACAUUCUACAGUCCUCCGCUCUACCAACUGAGCUAUCGAAGGGUGCUGGCCCAACAAUGGCAGAAAACACAGUGGCUGAGACAACACACUAUGCCAACAGGACUAUUCAUCCCAAUGUUCAAUCAAAAUCCCAGCCCUUCCUGCAGAACAAAGCUUCACAGUUUGUACAGAAACAGGCAUUGCCAGAGACCCAGAACUGAUAAUCAGGACUUUUAGGCUGGUUGAAAAAAACAACAACUUGUGGUUGGAACAUAAAGGAGGAGUUAUCUUGUUUUUGUUUGUACAUUUUGAGUGAUGGAGUUGACAGAUGAAGACAAGGCUUGGCAUUAUUUCAUGGUGAUUAGACCAAGAACAUUGCUCACACCAAUGAAAAGCACAUCCUUCGAGCCGGAGUUGAACCAGCGACCUAAGGAUCACAGCGAUUACAUUCAGGAACAUUCUACAGUCCUCCGCUCUACCAACUGAGCUAUCGUAGGGUGCUGGGGCAACAAUGGCAGAAAACACAGUGGCUGAGACAACACACUAUGCCAGCAGGACCUUUCAUCCCUAUGGUCAAUCAAAAUCCCAGCCCUUCCUGCAGAACAAAGCUCAGCAGUUUGUACCCAACAGGCAUUGCCAGGGACCGAGAACUGAUAAUCAGGACUUUUAGGCUGGUUGAAAAAAAUAACAACUUGUGGUUGGAACAUAAAGGAGGAGUUAUCUUGUUUUUGUUUGUACAUUUUGAGUGAUGGAGUUGACAGAUGAAGACAAGGCUUGGCAUUAUUUCAAUGUGAUUAGACCAAGAACAUUGCUCACACCAAUGAAAAGCACAUCCUUCGAGGUGGAGUUGAACCAGCGACCUAAGGAUCACAGCGAUUACAUUCAGGAACAUUCUACAGUGCUCCGCUCUACCAACUGAGCUAUCGAAGGGUGCUGGCCCAACAAUGGCAGAAAACACAGUGGCUGAGACAACACACUAUGCCAACAGGACUAUUCAUCCCAAUGUUCAAUCAAAAUCCCAGCCCUUCCUGCAGAACAAAGCUUCACAGUUUGUACAGAAACAGGCAUUGCCAGAGACCCAGAACUGAUAAUCAGGACUUUUAGGCUGGUUGAAAAAAAAAACAACUUGUGGUUGGAACAUAAAGGAGGAGUUAUCUUGUUUUUGUUUGUACAUUUUGAGUGAUGGAGUUGACAGAUGAAGACAAGGCUUGGCAUUAUUUCAUGGUGAUUAGACCAAGAACAUUGCUCACACCAAUGAAAAGCACAUCCUUCGAGCCGGAGUUGAACCAGCGACCUAAGGAUCACAGCAAUUACAUUCAGGAACAUUCUACAGUCCUCCGCUCUACCAACUGAGCUAUCGAAGGGUGCUGUGGGAGCAAAUGCAGAAAACACAGUGGCUGAUACAACACACUGUGCCAAAAAGACUCUUCGUCCCAGUGGUCAAUCAUAAGCCCCUUCCUGCAGAACAAAGCUUCGCAGUUUGUACCCAACAGGCAUUGCCAGAGACCCAGAACUGAUAAUCAGGACUUUUAGGCUGGUUGAAAAAAAUAAUAACUUGUGGUUGGAACAUAAAGGAGGAGUUAUCUUGUUUUUGUUUGUACAUUUUGAGUGAUGGAGUUGACAGAUGAAGACAAGGCUUGGAGCAGGAGUUGAACUAGCAACCCAAGGAUCACAGCCUACAGUCCUCCCCUCUACCAACUGAGCUAUCGUAGGGUGCUGGGGCAACAAUGGCAGAAAACACAGUGGCUGAGACAACACACUAUGCCAGCAGGACCUUUCAUCCCUAUGGUCAAUCAAAAUCCCAGCCCUUCCUGCAGAACAAAGCUCAGCAGUUUGUACCCAACAGGCAUUGCCAGGGACCGAGAACUGAUAAUCAGGACUUUUAGGCUGGUUGAAAAAAACAACAACUUGUGGUUGGAACAUAAAGGAGGAGUUAUCUUGUUUUUGUUUGUACAUUUUGAGUGAUGGAGUUGACAGAUGAAGACAAGGCUUGGCAUUAUUUCAAUGUGAUUAGACCAAGAACAUUGCUCACACCAAUGAAAAGCACAUCCUUCGAGGUGGAGUUGAACCAGCGACCUAAGGAUCACAGCGAUUACAUUCAGGAACAUUCUACAGUGCUCCGCUCUACCAACUGAGCUAUCGAAGGGUGCUGGCCCAACAAUGGCAGAAAACACAGUGGCUGAGACAACACACUAUGCCAACAGGACUAUUCAUCCCAAUGUUCAAUCAAAAUCCCAGCCCUUCCUGCAGAACAAAGCUUCACAGUUUGUACAGAAACAGGCAUUGCCAGAGACCCAGAACUGAUAAUCAGGACUUUUAGGCUGGUUGAAAAAAAAAACAACUUGUGGUUGGAACAUAAAGGAGGAGUUAUCUUGUUUUUGUUUGUACAUUUUGAGUGAUGGAGUUGACAGAUGAAGACAAGGCUUGGCAUUAUUUCAUGGUGAUUAGACCAAGAACAUUGCUCACACCAAUGAAAAGCACAUCCUUCGAGCCGGAGUUGAACCAGCGACCUAAGGAUCACAGCAAUUACAUUCAGGAACAUUCUACAGUCCUCCGCUCUACCAACUGAGCUAUCGAAGGGUGCUGUGGGAGCAAAUGCAGAAAACACAGUGGCUGAUACAACACACUGUGCCAAAAAGACUCUUCGUCCCAGUGGUCAAUCAUAAGCCCUUCCUGCAGAACAAAGCUUCGCAGUUUGUACCCAACAGGCAUUGCCAGAGACCCAGAACUGAUAAUCAGGACUUUUAGGCUGGUUGAAAAAAAUAAUAACUUGUGGUUGGAACAUAAAGGAGGAGUUAUCUUGUUUUUGUUUGUACAUUUUGAGUGAUGGAGUUGACAGAUGAAGACAAGGCUUGGAGCAGGAGUUGAACUAGCAACCCAAGGAUCACAGCCUACAGUCCUCCCCUCUACCAACUGAGCUAUCGUAGGGUGCUGGGGCAACAAUGGCAGAAAACACAGUGGCUGAGACAACACACUAUGCCAGCAGGACCUUUCAUCCCUAUGGUCAAUCAAAAUCCCAGCCCUUCCUGCAGAACAAAGCUCAGCAGUUUGUACCCAACAGGCAUUGCCAGGGACCGAGAACUGAUAAUCAGGACUUUUAGGCUGGUUGAAAAAAACAACAACUUGUGGUUGGAACAUAAAGGAGGAGUUAUCUUGUUUUUGUUUGUACAUUUUGAGUGAUGGAGUUGACAGAUGAAGACAAGGCUUGGCAUUAUUUCAUGGUGAUUAGACCAAGAACAUUGCUCACACCAAUGAAAAGCACAUCCUUCGAGCCGGAGUUGAACCAGCGACCUAAGGAUCACAGCGAUUACAUUCAGGAACAUUCUACAGUCCUCCGCUCUACCAACUGAGCUAUCGUAGGGUGCUGGGGCAACAAUGGCAGAAAACACAGUGGCUGAGACAACACACUAUGCCAGCAGGACCUUUCAUCCCUAUGGUCAAUCAAAAUCCCAGCCCUUCCUGCAGAACAAAGCUCAGCAGUUUGUACCCAACAGGCAUUGCCAGGGACCGAGAACUGAUAAUCAGGACUUUUAGGCUGGUUGAAAAAAAUAACAACUUGUGGUUGGAACACAAAGGAGGAGUUAAUCUUGUUUGUGUUCGUACAUUUUGAGUGAUGGAGUUGAUAGAUGAAGACGAGGCUUGGAGCGGGAGUUGAACUAGCAACCCAAGGAUCACAGCCUACAGUCCUCAGCUCUACCAACUGAGCUAUCGUAGGGUGCUGGGGCAACAAUGGCAGAAAACACAGUGGCUGAGACAACACACUAUGCCAGCAGGACCUUUCAUUCCUAUGGUCAAUCAAAAUCCCAGCCCUUCCUGCAGAACAAAGCUCAGCAGUUUGUACCCAACAGGCAUUGCCAGAGACCCAGAACUGAUAAUCAGGACUUUUAGGCUGGUUGAAAAAAAUAACAACUUGUGUUGGAAGAUAUAGGAGGAGUUAUCUUGUUUUUGUUUGUACAUUUUGAGUGAUAGAGUUGACAGAUGAAGACAAGGCUUGGCAUUAUUUCAUGGUGAUUAGACCAAGAACAUUGCUCACACCAAUGAAAAGCACAUCCUUCGAGCCGGAGUUGAACCAGCGACCUAAGGAUCACAGCGAUUACAUUCAGGAACAUUCUACAGUCCUCCGCUCUACCAACUGAGCUAUCGAAGGGUGCUGUGGGAGCAAAUGCAGAAAACACAGUGGCUGAGACAACACACUGUGCCAACAGGACUCUUCGUCCCAAUGGUCAAUCAUAAGCCCAGCCCUUCCUGCAGAACAAAGCUUCGCAGUUUGUACCCAACAGGCAUUGCCAGAGACCCAGAACUGAUAAUCAGGACUUUUAGGCUGGUUGAAAAAAAUAACAACUUGUGGUUGGAAGAUAAAGGAGGAGUUAAUAUUGUUUGUGUUUGUACAUUUUGAGUGAUGGAGUUGACAGAUGAAGACAAGGCUUGGCAUUAUUUCAUUGUGAUUAGACCAAGAACAUUGCUCACACCAAUGAAAAGCACAUCCUUCGAGCCGGAGUUGAACCAGCGACCUAAGGAUCACAGCGAUUACAUUCAGGAACAUUCUACAGUGCUCCGCUCUACCAACUGAGCUAUCGAAGGGUGCUGGCCCAACAAUGGCAGAAAACACAGUGGCUGAGACAACACACUAUGCCAACAGGACUAUUCAUCCCAAUGUUCAAUCAAAAUCCCAGCCCUUCCUGCAGAACAAAGCUUCACAGUUUGUACAGAAACAGGCAUUGCCAGAGACCCAGAACUGAUAAUCAGGACUUUUAGGCUGGUUGAAGCAAAAAACAACAACUUGUGGUUGGAACAUAAAGGAGGAGUUAUCUUGUUUUUGUUUGUACAUUUUGAGUGAUGGAGUUGACAGAUGAAGACAAGGCUUGGCAUUAUUUCAUGGUGAUUAGACCAAGAACAUUGCUCACACCAAUGAAAAGCACAUCCUUCGAGCCGGAGUUGAACCAGCGACCUAAGGAUCACAGCGAUUACAUUCAGGAACAUUCUACAGUCCUCCGCUCUACCAACUGAGCUAUCGUAGGGUGCUGGGGCAACAAUGGCAGAAAACACAGUGGCUGAGACAACACACUAUGCCAGCAGGACCUUUCAUCCCUAUGGUCAAUCAAAAUCCCAGCCCUUCCUGCAGAACAAAGCUCAGCAGUUUGUACCCAACAGGCAUUGCCAGGGACCGAGAACUGAUAAUCAGGACUUUUAGGCUGGUUGAAAAAAAUAACAACUUGUGGUUGGAACAUAAAGGAGGAGUUAUCUUGUUUUUGUUUGUACAUUUUGAGUGAUGGAGUUGACAGAUGAAGACAAGGCUUGGCAUUAUUUCAAUGUGAUUAGACCAAGAACAUUGCUCACACCAAUGAAAAGCACAUCCUUCGAGGUGGAGUUGAACCAGCGACCUAAGGAUCACAGCGAUUACAUUCAGGAACAUUCUACAGUGCUCCGCUCUACCAACUGAGCUAUCGAAGGGUGCUGGCCCAACAAUGGCAGAAAACACAGUGGCUGAGACAACACACUAUGCCAACAGGACUAUUCAUCCCAAUGUUCAAUCAAAAUCCCAGCCCUUCCUGCAGAACAAAGCUUCACAGUUUGUACAGAAACAGGCAUUGCCAGAGACCCAGAACUGAUAAUCAGGACUUUUAGGCUGGUUGAAAAAAAAAACAACUUGUGGUUGGAACAUAAAGGAGGAGUUAUCUUGUUUUUGUUUGUACAUUUUGAGUGAUGGAGUUGACAGAUGAAGACAAGGCUUGGCAUUAUUUCAUGGUGAUUAGACCAAGAACAUUGCUCACACCAAUGAAAAGCACAUCCUUCGAGCCGGAGUUGAACCAGCGACCUAAGGAUCACAGCAAUUACAUUCAGGAACAUUCUACAGUCCUCCGCUCUACCAACUGAGCUAUCGAAGGGUGCUGUGGGAGCAAAUGCAGAAAACACAGUGGCUGAUACAACACACUGUGCCAAAAAGACUCUUCGUCCCAGUGGUCAAUCAUAAGCCCUUCCUGCAGAACAAAGCUUCGCAGUUUGUACCCAACAGGCAUUGCCAGAGACCCAGAACUGAUAAUCAGGACUUUUAGGCUGGUUGAAAAAAAUAAUAACUUGUGGUUGGAACAUAAAGGAGGAGUUAUCUUGUUUUUGUUUGUACAUUUUGAGUGAUGGAGUUGAUAGAUGAAGACAAGGCUUGGAGCAGGAGUUGAACUAGCAACCCAAGGAUCACAGCCUACAGUCGUCCCCUCUACCAAGUGAGCUAUCGAAGGGUGCUGGGGCAACAAUGGCAGAAAACACAGUGGCUGAGACAACACACUAUGCCAGCAGGACCUUUCAUCCCUAUGGUCAAUCAAAAUCCCAGCCCUUCCUGCAGAACAAAGCUCAGCAGUUUGUACCCAACAGGCAUUGCCAGGGACCGAGAACUGAUAAUCAGGACUUUUAGGCUGGUUGAAAAAAAUAACAACUUGUGGUUGGAACAUAAAGGAGGAGUUAUCUUGUUUUUGUUUGUACAUUUUGAGUGAUGGAGUUGACAGAUGAAGACAAGGCUUGGCAUUAUUUCAUGGUGAUUAGACCAAGAACAUUGCUCACACCAAUGAAAAGCACAUCCUUCGAGCCGGAGUUGAACCAGCGACCUAAGGAUCACAGCGAUUACAUUCAGGAACAUUCUACAGUCCUCCGCUCUACCAACUGAGCUAUCGAAGGGUGCUGGGGCAACAAUGGCAGAAAACACAGUGGCUGAGACAACACACUAUGCCAGCAGGACCUUUCAUCCCUAUGGUCAAUCAAAAUCCCAUCCCUUCCUGCAGAACAAAGCUCAGCAGUUUGUACCCAACAGGCAUUGCCAGGGACCGAGAACUGAUAAUCAGGACUUUUAGGCUGGUUGAAAAAAAUAACAACUUGUGGUUGGAACACAAAGGAGGAGUUAAUCUUGUUUGUGUUCGUACAUUUUGAGUGAUGGAGUUGAUAGAUGAAGACAAGGCUUGGAGCGGGAGUUGAACUAGCAACCCAAGGAUCAAAGCCUACAGUCCUCAGCUCUACCAACUGAGCUAUCGUAGGGUGCUGGGGCAACAAUGGCAGAAAACACAGUGGCUGAGACAACACACUAUGCCAGCAGGACCUUUCAUUCCUAUGGUCAAUCAAAAUCCCAGCCCUUCCUGCAGAACAAAGCUCAGCAGUUUGUACCCAACAGGCAUUGCCAGAGACCCAGAACUGAUAAUCAGGACUUUUAGGCUGGUUGAAAAAAAUAACAACUUGUGUUGGAAGAUAUAGGAGGAGUUAUCUUGUUUUUGUUUGUACAUUUUGAGUGAUAGAGUUGACAGAUGAAGACAAGGCUUGGCAUUAUUUCAUGGUGAUUAGACCAAGAACAUUGCUCACACCAAUGAAAAGCACAUCCUUCGAGCCGGAGUUGAACCAGCGACCUAAGGAUCACAGCGAUUACAUUCAGGAACAUUCUACAGUCCUCCGCUCUACCAACUGAGCUAUCGAAGGGUGCUGUGGGAGCAAAUGCAGAAAACACAGUGGCUGAUACAACACACUGUGCCAACAGGACUCUUCGUCCCAAUGGUCAAUCAUAAGCCCAGCCCUUCCCGCAGAACAAAGCUUCGCAGUUUGUACCCAACAGGCAUUGCCAGAGACCCAGAACUGAUAAUCAGGACUUUUAGGCUGGUUGAAAAAAAUAACAACUUGUGGUUGGAAGAUAAAGGAGGAGUUAAUAUUGUUUGUGUUUGUACAUUUUGAGUGAUGGAGUUGACAGAUGAAGACAAGGCUUGGCAUUAUUUCAUGGUGAUUAGACCAAGAACAUUGCUCACACCAAUGAAAAGCACAUCCUUCGAGCCGGAGUUGAACCAGCGACCUAAGGAUCACAGCGAUUACAUUCAGGAACAUCCUACAGUCCUCCGCUCUACCAACUGAGCUAUCGAAGGGUGCUGGGGGAACAAAUGCAGAAAACAUAGUGGCUGAGACAACACACUAUGCCAACAGGACUAUUCAUCCCAAUGUUCAAUCAAAGUCCCAGCCCUUCCUGCAGAACAAAGCUUCACAGUUUGUACAGAAACAGGCAUUGCCAGGGACCCAGAACUGAUAAUCAGGACUUUUAGGCUGGUUUAAAAAAAUAACAACUUGUGGUUGGAACAUAAAGGAGGAGUUAUCUUGUUUUUGUUUGUACAUUUUGAGUGAUGGAGUUGACAGAUGAAGACAAGGCUCGGCAUUAUUUCAAUGUGGUUAGACCAAGAACAUUGCUCACACCAAUGAAAAGCACAUCCUUCGAGCCGGAGUUGAACCAGCGACCUAAGGAUGACAGCGAUUACAUACAGGAACAUUCUACAGUCCUCCGCUCUACCAAGUGAGCUAUCGAAGGGUGCUGGGGGAACAAAUGCAGAAAACAUAGUGGCUGAGACAACACACUAUGCUAACAGGACUAUUCAUCCCAAUAGUCAAUCAUAAGCCCAGCCCUUCCUGCAGAACAAAGCUUCGCAGUUUGUACAGAAAAAGGCAUUGCCAGGGACCCAGAACUGAUAAUCAGGACUAUUAGGCUGGUUGAAAAAAAUAACAACUUGUGGUUGGAACAUAAAGGAGGAGUUAAUAUUGUUUGUGUUUGUACAUUUUGAUUGAUGGAGUUGACUAAUGAAGACAAGGCUUGGCACUAUUUCAAUGUGAUUAGACCAAGAACAUUGCUCACACCAAUGAAAAGCACAUCCUUCGAGCCGGAGUUGAACCAGCGACCUAAGGAUCACAUCGAUUACAUUCAGGAACAUCCUACAGUCCUCUGCUCUACUAACUGAGCUAUCGAAGGGUGCUGUGGGAACAAAUGCAGAAAACAUAGUGGCUGAGACAACACACUAUGCUAACAGGACUAUUCAUCCCAAUAGUCAAUCAUAAGCCCAGCCCUUCCUGCAGAACAAAGCUUCACAGUUUGUACAGAAACAGGCAUUGCCAGGGACCCAGAACUGAUAAUCAGGACUUUUAGGCUGGUUGAAAAAAAGUAACAACUUGUGGUUGGAACAUAAAAGAGGAGUUAAUAUUGUUUGUGUUUGUACAUUUUGAGUGAUGGAGUUGACAGAUGAAGACAAGGCUUGGCAUUAAUUCAAUGUGAUUAGACCAAGAACAUUUCUAACACCAAUGAAAAGCACAUGCUUCGAGCCGGAGUUGAACAAGCGACCUAAGGAUCACAGCGAUUACAUUCAGGAACAUGCUACAGUACUCCUCUCUACCAACUGAGCUAUCGUAGGGUGCUGGGCCAACAAUGGAAGAAAACACAGUGGCUGAGACAACACACUAUGCCAGCAGGACCUUUCAUCCCUAUGGUCAAUCAAAAUCCCAGCCCUUCCUGCAGAACAAAGCUCAGCAGUUUGUACCCAACAGGCAUUGCCAGGGACCGAGAACUGAUAAUCAGGACUUUUAGGCUGGUUGAAAAAAAUAACAACUUGUGGUUGGAACAUAAAGGAGGAGUUAUCUUGUUUUUGUUUGUACAUUUUGAGUGAUGGAGUUGACAGAUGAAGACAAGGCUUGGCAUUAUUUCAAUGUGAUUAGACCAAGAACAUUGCUCACACCAAUGAAAAGCACAUCCUUCGAGACGGAGUUGAACCAGCGACCUAAGGAUGACAGCGAUUACAUUCAGGAACAUUCUACAGUACUCCGCUCUACCAAGUGAGCUAUCGAAGGGUGCUGGGGGAACAAAUGCAGAAAACAUAGUGGCUGAGACAACACACUAUGCUAACAGGACUAUUCAUCCCGAUAGUCAAUCAUAAGCCCAGCCCUUCCUGCAGAACAAAGCUCAGCAGUUUGUACCCAACAGGCAUUGCCAGGGACCGAGAACUGAUAAUCAGGACUUUUAGGCUGGUUGAAAAAAAAACCAACUUGUGGUUGGAACAUAAAGGAGGAGUUAACAUUGUUUGUGUUUGUACAUUUUGAGUGAUGGAGUUGACAGAUGAAGACAAGGCUUGGCAUUAUUUCAAUGUGAUUAGACCAAGAACAUUUCUAACACCAAUGAAAAGCACAUCCUUCGAGCCGGAGUUGAACAAGCAACCUAAGGAUCGCAGCAAUUACAUUCAGGAACAUUCUACAGUUCUCCGCUCUACCAACUGAGCUAUCGUAGGGUGCGGAGGCAACAAUUGCAGAAAACACAGUGGCUGAGACAACACACUAUGCCAGCAGGACCUUUCAUCCCUAUGGUCAAUCAAAAUCCCAGCCCUUCCUGCAGAACAAAGCUCAGCAGUUUGUACCCAACAGGCAUUGCCAGGGACCGAGAACUGAUAAUCAGGACUUUUAAGCUGGUUGAAAAAAAUAACAACUUGUGGUUGGAACAUAAAGGAGGAGUUAUCUUGUUUUUGUUUGUACAUUUUGAGUGAUGGAGUUGACAGAUGAAGACAAGGCUUGGCAUUAUUUCAAUGUGAUUAGACCAAGAACAUUGCUCACACUAAUGAAAAGCACAUCCUUCGAGACGGAGUUGAAGCAGCGACCUAAGGAUCACAGCGAUUACAUUCAGGAACAUUCUACAGUCCUCCGCUCUACCAACUGAGCUAUCGAAGGGUGCUGGGCCAACAAUGUCAGAAAACACAGUGGCUGAGACAACACACUAUGCUAACAGGACUAUUCAUCCCUAUGAUCAAUCAAAAUCCCAGCCCUUCCUGCAGAACAAAGCUCAGCAGUUUGUACCCAACAGGCAUUGCCAGGGACCAAGAACUGAUAAUCAGGACUUUUAGGCUGGUUGAAAAAAAUAACAACUUGUGGUUGGAACAUAAAGGAGGAGUUAUCUUGUUUUUGUUUGUACAUUUUGAGUGAUGGAGUUGACAGAUGAAGACAAGGCUUGGCAUUAUUUCAUGGUGAUUAGACCAAGAACAUUGCUCACACCAAUGAAAAGCACAUCCUUCGAGUCGGAGUUGAACCAGCGACCUAAGGAUCACAGCGAUUACAUUCAGGAACAUUCUACAGUCAUCCGCUCUACCAACUGAGCUAUCGAAGGGUGCUGGGCCAACAAUGUCAGAAAACACAGUGGCUGAGACAACACACUAUGCUAACAGGACUAUUCAUCCCAAUAGUCAAUCAUAAGCCCAGCCCUUCCUGCAGAACAAAGCUCAGCAGUUUGUACCCAACAGGCAUUGCCAGGGACCCAGAACUGAUAAUCAGGACUUUUAGGCUGGUUGAAAAAAAUAACAACUUGUGGUUGGAACAUAAAGGAGGAGUUAUCUUGUUUUUGUUUGUACAUUUUGAGUGAUGGAGUUGACAGAUGAAGACAAGGCUUGGCAUUAUUUCAAUGUGAUUAGACCAAGAACAUUGCUCACACCAAUGAAAUGCACAUCCUUCGAGUCGGAGUUGAACCAGCGACCUAAGGAUCACAGCGAUUACAUUCAGGAACAUUCUACAGUCCUCCGCUCUACCAACUGAGCUAUCGAAGGGUGCUGGCCCAACAAUGGCAGAAAACACAGUGGCUGAGACAACACACUAUGCCAACAGGACUAUUCAUCCCUAUGGUCAAUCAAAAUCCCAGCCCUUCCUGCAGAACAAAGCUCAGCAGUUUGUACCCAACAGGCAUUGCCAGGGACCAAGAACUGAUAAUCAGGACUUUUAGGCUGGUUGAAAAAAAUAACAACUUGUGGUUGGAACAUAAAGGAGGAGUUAUCUUGUUUUCGUUUGUACAUUUUGAGUGAUGGAGUUGACAGAUGAAGACAAGGCUUGGCAUUAUUUCAAUGUGAUUAGACCAAGAACAUUGCUCACACCAAUGAAAAGCACAAGCUUCGAGCCGGAGUUGAACCAGCGACCUAAGGAUCACAGUGAUUACAUUCAUGAACAUUCGACAGUCCUCCGCUCUACCAACUGAGCUAUCGCAGGGUGCUGGGGCAACAAUGGCAGAAAACAGAGUGGCUGAGACAACACACUAUGCCAACAGGACCUUUCAUCCCAAUGGUCAAUCAAAACCCCAGCCCUUCCUGCAGAACAAAGCUCAGAAUUUUGUACCCAACAGGCAUUGCCAGGGACCCAGAACUGAUAAUCAGGACUUUUAGGCUGGUUGAAAAAAAUAACAACUUGUGGUUGGAAGAUAAAGGAGGAGUUAUCUUGUUUUUGUUUGUACAUUUUGAGUGAUGGAGUUGACAGAUGAAGACAAGGCUUGGCAUUAUUUCAAUGUGAUUAGACCAAGAACAUUGCUCACACCAAUGAAAAGCACAUCCUUCAAGCCGAAGUUGAACCAGCAGCCUAAGGAUCACAGCGAUUACAUUCAGGAACAUCCUAUAGUCCUCUGCUCUACCAACUGAGCUAUCGAAGGGUCCUGGGGAAACAAAUGCAGAAAACAUAGUGGCUGAGACAACACACUAUGCCAAAAGGACUAUUCAUCCCAAUAGUCAAUCAUAAGCCCAGCCCUUCCUGCAGAAAAAAGCUCAGCAGUUUGUAUCCAACAGGCAUUGCAAGAGAUCCUGAACUGAUAAUCAGGACUUUUAGGCUGGUUGAAAAAAAUAACAACUUGUGGUUGGAACAUAAAGGAGGAGAAAAUGUUGUUUGUACAUUUUGAGUGAUGGAGUUGACAGAUGAAGACAAGGUUUGGAGUGGGAGUUGAACUAGCAACCCAAGGAUCACAGCCUACAGUCCUCAGCUCUACCAACUGAGCUAUCGUAGGGUGCUGGGGCAACAAUGGCAGAAAACACAGUGGCUGAGACAACACACUAUGCCAGCAGGACCUUUCAUUCCUAUGGUCAAUCAAAAUCCCAGCCCUUCCUGCAGAACAAAGCUCAGCAGUUUGUACCCAACAGGCAUUGCCAGGGACCCAGAACUGAUAAUCAGGACUUUUAGGCUGGUUGAAAAAAAUAACAACUUGUGGUUGGAAGAUAAAGGAGGAGUUAUCUUGUUUUUGUUUGUACAUUUUGAGUGAUGGAGUUGACAGAUGAAGACAAGGCUUGGCAUUAUUUCAAUGUGAUUAGACCAAGAACAUUGCUCACACCAAUGAAAAGCACAUCCUUCGCGCCGAAGUUGAACCAGCAGCCUAAGGAUCACAGCGAUUACAUUCAGGAACAUCCUAUAGUCCUCUGCUCUACCAACUGAGCUAUCGAAGGGUCCUGGGGAAACAAAUGCAGAAAACAUAGUGGCUGAGACAACACACUAUGCCAAAAGGACUAUUCAUCCCAAUAGUCAAUCAUAAGCCCAGCCCUUCCUGCAGAAAAAAGCUCAGCAGUUUGUAUCCAACAGGCAUUGCAAGAGAUCCUGAACUGAUAAUCAGGACUUUUAGGCUGGUUGAAAAAAAUAACAACUUGUGGUUGGAACAUAAAGGAGGAGAAAAUGUUGUUUGUACAUUUUGAGUGAUGGAGUUGACAGAUGAAGACAAGGUUUGGAGUGGGAGUUGAACCAGCAACCCAAGGAUCACAGCCUAAAGUCCUCCGCUCUACCAACUGAACUAUCAAUGGGUGCUAGGGGAACAAAGGCAGAAAACAAAGUGGCUGAGACAACACACUAUGCCAAAAGGACUAUUCAUCCCAAUAGUCAAUCAUAAGCCCAGCCCUUCCUGCAGAAAAAAGCUCAGUAGUUUGUACCCAACAGGCAUUGCCAGAGAUCCUGAACUGAUAAUCAGGACUUUUAGGCUGGUUGAAAAAAAAUAACAACUUGUGGUUGGAACAUAAAGGAGGAGAAAGUGUUUGUACAUUUUGAGUGAUGGAGUUGACAGAUGAAGACAAGGUUUGGAGUGGGAGUUGAACCAGCAACCCAAGGAUCACAGCCUAAAGUCCUCCGCUCUACCAACUGAGCUAUCGAAGGGUGCUGGGGGAACAAAGGCAGAAAACAUAGUGAUUGAGACAACACACUAUGCCAAAAGGACUAUUCAUCCCAAUAGUCAAUCAUAAGCCCAGCCCUUCCUGCAGAAAAAAGCUCAGUAGUUUGUACCCAACAGGCAUUGCCAGAGAUCCUGAACUGAUAAUCAGGACUUUUAGGCUGGUUGAAAAAAAAAUAACAACUUGUGGUUGGAACAUAAAGGAGGAGAAAAUGUUGUUUGUACAUUUUGAGUGAUGGAGUUGACAGAUGAAGACAAGGUUUGGAGUGGGAGUUGAACCACCAACCCAAGGAUCACAGCCUAAAGUCCUCCGCUCUACCAACUGAGCUAUCGAAGGGUGCUGGGGGAACAAAGGCAGAAAACAUAGUGGCUGAGACAACACACUAUGCCAAAAGGACUAUUCAUCCCAAUAGUCAAUCAUAAGCCCAGCCCUUCCUGCAGAAAAAAGCUCAGUAGUUUGUAUCCAACAGGCAUUGCCAGAGAUCCUGAACUGAUAAUCAGGACUUUUAGGCUGGUUGAAAAAAAAAUAACAACUUGUGGUUGGAACAUAAAGGAGGAGAAAAUGUUGUUUGUACAUUUUGAGUGAUGGAGUUGGCAGAUGAAGACAAGGUUUGGAGUGGGAGUUGAACCAGCAACCCAAGGAUCACAGCCUAAAGUCCUCCGCUCUACCAACUGAGCUAUCGAAGGGUGCUGGGGGAACAAAGGCAGAAAACAUAGUGGCUGAGACAACACACUAUGCCAAAAGGACUAUUCAUCCCAAUAGUCAAUCAUAAGCCCAGCCCUUCCUGCAGAAAAAAGCUCAGUAGUUUGUACCCAACAGGCAUUGCCAGAGAUCCUGAACUGAUAAUCAGGACUUUUAGGCUGGUUGAAAAAAAAAUAACAACUUGUGGUUGGAACAUAAAGGAGGAGAGAAUGUUGUUUGUACAUUUUGAGUGAUGGAGUUGACAGAUGAAGACAAGGUUUGGAGUGGGAGUUGAACCAGCAACCCAAGGAUCACAGCCUAAAGUCCUCCGCUCUACCAACUGAGCUAUGGAAGGGUGCUGGGGGAACAAAGGCAGAAAACAUAGUGGCUGAGAAAACACACUAUGCCAAAAGGACUAUUCAUCCCAAUAGUCAAUCAUAAGCCCAGCCCUUCCUGCAGAAAAAAGCUCAGUAGUUUGUACCCAACAGGCAUUGCCAGAGAUCCUGAACUGAUAAUCAGGACUUUUAUGCUGGUUGAAAAAAAAAUAACAACUUGUGGUUGGAACAUAAAGGAGGAGAAAAUGUUGUUUGUACAUUUUGAGUGAUGGAGUUGACAGAUGAAGACAAGGUUUGGAGUGGGAGUUGAACCAGCAACCUAAGGAUCACAGCCUAAAGUGCUCCGCUCUACCAACUGAGCUAUCGAAGGGUGCUGGCGGAACAAAGGCAGAAAACAUAGUGGCUGAGACAACACACUAUGCCAAAAGGACUAUUCAUCCCAAUAGUCAAUCAUAAGCCCAGCCCUUCCUGCAGAAAAAAGCUCAGUAGUAUGUAUCCAACAGGCAUUGCCAGAGAUCCUGAACUGAUAAUCAGGACUUUUAGGCUGGUUGAAAAAAAAUAACAACUUGUGGUUGGAACAUAAAGGAGGAGAAAAUGUUGUUUGUACAUUUUGAGUGAUGGAGUUGACAGAUGAAGACAAGGUUUGGAGUGGGAGUUGAACCAGCAACCCAAGGAUCACAGCCUAAAGUCCUCCGCUCUACCAACUGAGCUAUCGAAGGGUGCUGGGGGAACAAAGGCAGAAAACAUAGUGGCUGAGACAACACACUAUGCCAAAAGGACUAUUCAUCCCAAUAGUCAAUCAUAAGCCCAGCCCUUCCUGCAGAAAAAAGCUCAGUAGUUUGUACCCAACAGGCAUUGCCAGAGAUCCUGAACUGAUAAUCAGGACUUUUAGGCUGGUUGAAAAAAAAAUAACAACUUGUGGUUGGAACAUAAAUGAGAAGAAAAUGUUGUUUGUACAUUUUGAGUGAUGGAGUUGACAGAUGAAGACAAGGUUUGGAGUGGGAGUUGAACCAGCAACCUAAGGAUCACAGCCUAAAGUCCUCCGCUCUACCAACUGAGCUAUCGAUGGGUGCUGGGGGAACAAAGGCAGAAAACAUAGUGGCUGAGACAACACACUAUGCCAAAAGGACUAUUCAUCUCAAUAGUCAAUCAUAAGCCCAGCCCUUCCUGCAGAAAAAAGCUCAGUAGUAUGUAUCCAACAGGCAUUGCCAGAGAUCCUGAACUGAUAAUCAGGACUUUUAGGCUGGUUGAAAAAAAAUAACAACUUGUGGUUGGAACAUAAAGGAGGAGAAAAUGUUGUUUGUACAUUUUGAGUGAUGGAGUUGGCAGAUGAAGACAAGGUUUGGAGUGGGAGUUGAACCAGCAACCCAAGGAUCACAGCCUAAAGUCCUCCGCUCUACCAACUGAGCUAUCGAAGGGUGCUGGGGGAACAAAGGCAGAAAACAUAGUGGCUGAGACAACACACUAUGCCAAAAGGACUAUUCAUCCCAAUAGUCAAUCAUAAGCCCAUCCCUUCCUGCAGAAAAAAGCUCAGUAGUUUGUACCCAACAGGCAUUGCCAGAGAUCCUGAACUGAUAAUCAGGACUUUUAUGCUUUUUGAAAAAAAAAUAACAACUUGUGGUUGGAACAUAAAGGAGGAGAAAAUGUUGUUUGUACAUUUUGAGUGAUGGAGUUGACAGAUGAAGACAAGGUUUGGAGUGGGAGUUGAACCAGCAACCCAAGGAUCACAGCCUAAAGUCCUCCGCUCUACCAACUGAGCUAUCGAAGGGUGCUGGGGGAACAAAGGCAGAAAACAUAGUGGCUGAGACAACACACUAUGCCAAAAGGACUAUUCAUCCCAAUAGUCAAUCAUAAGCCCAGCCCUUCCUGCAGAAAAAAGCUCAGUAGUAUGUAUCCAACAGGCAUUGCCAGAGAUCCUGAACUGAUAAUCAGGACUUUUAGGCUGGUUGAAAUAAAAAUAACAACUUGUGGUUGGAACAUAAAGGAGGAGAAAAUGUUUUUUGUACAUUUUGAGUGAUGGAGUUGACAGAUGAAGACAAGGUUUGGAGUGGGAGUUGAACCAGCAACCCAAGGAUCACAGCCUAAAGUCCUCCGCUCUACCAACUGAGCUAUCGAAGGGUGCUGGGGGAACAAAGGCAGAAAACAUAGUGGCUGAGACAACACACUAUGCCAAAAGGACUAUUCAUCCCAAUAGUCAAUCAUAAGCCCAGCCCUUCCUGCAGAAAAAAGCUCAGUAGUUUGUAUCCAACAGGCAUUGCAAGAGAUCCUGAACUGAUAAUCAGGACUUUUAGGCUGGUUGAAAAAAAAAUAACAACUUGUGGUUGGAACAUAAAGGAGGAGUGAUGGAGUUGACAGAUGAAGACAAGGUUUGGAGUGGGAGUUGAACCAGCAACCCAAGGAUCACAGCCUCAAGUCCUCCGCUCUACCAACUGAGCUAUCGAAGGGUGCUGGCACCAAAGGCAGAAAACAUAGUGGCUGAGACAACACACUAUGCCAAAAGGACUAUUCAUCCCAAUAGUCAAUCAUAAGCCCAGCCCUUCCUGCAGAAAAAAGCUCAGUAGUUUGUACCCAACAGGCAUUGCCAGAGAUCCUGAACUGAUAAUCAGGACUUUUAGGCUGGUUGAAAAAAAAAUAACAACUUGUGGUUGGAACAUAAAGGAGGAGAAAAUGUUGUUUGUACAUUUUGAGUGAUGGAGUUGGCAGAAGAAGACAAGGUUUGGAGUGGGAGUUGAACCAGCAACCCAAGGAUCACAGCCUAAAGUCCUCCGCUCUACCAACUGAGCUAUCGAAGGGUGCUGGGGGAACAAAGGCAGAAAACAUAGUGGCUGAGACAACACACUAUGCCAAAAGGACUAUUCAUCCCAAUAGUCAAUCAUAAGCCCAGCCCUUCCUGCAGAAAAAAGCUCAGUAGUUUGUACCCAACAGGCAUUGCCAGAGAUCCUGAACUGAUAAUCAGGACUUUUAUGCUGGGUGAAAAAAAAAUAACAACUUGUGGUUGGAACAUAAAGGAGGAGAAAAUGUUGUUUGUACAUUUUGAGUGAUGGAGUUGACAGAUGAAGACAAGGUUUGGAGUGGGAGUUGAACCAGCAACCCAAGGAUCACAGCCUAAAGUCCUCCGCUCUACUAACUGAGCUAUCGAAGGGUGCUGGGGGAACAAAGGCAGAAAACAUAGUGGCUGAGACAACACACUAUGCCAAAAGGACUAUUCAUCCCAAUAGUCAAUCAUAAGCCCAGCCCUUCCUGCAGAAAAAAGCUCAGUAGUUUGUAUCCAACAGGCAUUGCCAGAGAUCCUGAACUGAUAAUCAGGACUUUUAGGCUGGUUGAAAAAAAAAUAACAACUUGUGGUUGGAACAUAAAGGAGGAGAAAAUGUUGUUUGUACAUUUUGAGUGAUGGAGUUGACAGAUGAAUACAAGGUUUGGAGUGGGAGUUGAACCAGCAACCCAAGGAUCACAGCCUAAAGUCCUCCGCUCUACUAACUGAGCUAUCGAAGGGUGCUGGGGGAACAAAGGCAGAAAACAUAGUGGCUGAGACAACACACUAUGCCAAAAGGACUAUUCAUCCCAAUAGUCAAUCAUAAGCCCAGCCCUUCCUGCAGAAAAAAGCUCAGUAGUUUGUAUCCAACAGGCAUUGCCAGAGAUCCUGAACUGAUAAUCAGGACUUUUAGGCUGGUUGAAAAAAAAAUUACAACUUGUGGUUGGAACAUAAAGGAGGAGAAAAUGUUGUUUGUACAUUUUGAGUGAUGGAGUUGACAGAUGAAGCCAAGGUUUGGAAUGGGAGUUGAACCAGCAACCCAAAGAUCACAGCCUAAAGUCCUCCGCUCUACCAACUGAGCUAUCGAAGGGUGCUGGGGGAACAAAGGCAGAAAACAUAGUGGCUGAGACAACACACUAUGCCAAAAGGACUAUUCAUCCCAAUAGUCAAUCAUAAGCCCAGCCCUUCCUGCAGAAAAAAGCUCAGUAGUUUGUACCCAACAGGCAUUGCCAGAGAUCCUGAACUGAUAAUCAGGACUUUUAGGCUGGUUGAAAAAAAAUAACAACUUGUGGUUGGAACAUAAAGGAGGAGAAAAUGUUGUUUGUACAUUUUGAGUGAUGGAGUUGACAGAUGAAGACAAGGUUUGGAGUGGGAGUUGAACCAGCAACCCAAGGAACACAGCCUAAAGUCCUCCGCUCUACCAAUUGAGCUAUCGAAGGGUGCUGGGGGAACAAAGGCAGAAAACAUAGUGGCUGAGACAACACACUAUGCCAAAAGGACGAUUCAUCCCAAUAGUCAAUCAUAAGCCCAGCCCUUCCUGCAGAAAAAAGCUCAGUAGUUUGUACCCAACAGGCAUUGCCAGAGAUCCUGAACUGAUAAUCAGGACUUUUAGGCUGGUUGAAAAAAAAAUAACAACUUGUGGUUGGAACAUAAAGGAGGAGAAAAUGUUGUUUGUACAUUUUGAGUGAUGGAGUUGACAGAUGAAGACAAGGUUUCGAGUGGGAGUUGAACCAGCAACCCAAGGAUCACAGCCUAAAGUCCUCCGCUCUACCAACUGAGCUAUCGAAGGGUGCUGGGGGAAUAAAGGCAGAAAACAUAGUGGCUGAGACAACACACUAUGCUCAAAGGACUAUUCAUCCCAAUAGUCAAUCAUAAGCCCAGCCCUUCCUGCAGAAAAAAGCUCAGUAGUUUGUACCCAACAGGCAUUGCCAGAGAUCCUGAACUGAUAAUCAGGACUUUUAGGCUGGUUGAAAAAAAAAUAACAACUUGUGGUUGGAACAUAAAGGAGGAGAAAAUGUUGUUUGUACAUUUUGAGUGAUGGAGUUGACAGAUGAAGACAAGGUUUGGAGUGGGAGUUGAACCAGCAACCCAAGGAUCACAGCCUAAAGUCCUCCGCUCUACCAACUGAGCUAUCGAAGGGUGCUGGGGGAACAAAGGCAGAAAACAUAGUGGCUGAGACAACACACUAUGCCAAAAGGACUAUUCAUCUCAAUAGUCAAUCAUAAGCCCAGCCCUUCCUGCAGAAAAAAGCUCAGUAGUAUGUAUCCAACAGGCAUUGCCAGAGAUCCUGAACUGAUAAUCCGGACUUUUAGGCUGGUUGAAAAAAAAAUAACAACUUGUGGUUGGAACAUAAAGGAGGAGAAAAUGUUGUUUGUACAUUUUGAGUGAUGGAGUUGACAGAUGAAGACAAGGUUUCGAGUGGGAGUUGAACCAGCAACCCAAGGAUCACAGCCUAAAGUCCUCCGCUCUACCAACUGAGCUAUCAAGGUGCUGGGGGAACAAAGGCAGAAAACAUAGUGGCUGAGACAACACACUAUGCCAAAAGGACUAUUCAUCCCAAUAGUCAAUCAUAAGCCCAGCCCUUCCUGCAGAAAAAAGCUCAGUAGUUUGUACCCAACAGGCAUUGCCAGAGAUCCUGAACUGAUAAUCAGGACUUUUAUGCUUUUUGAAAAAAAAAUAACAACUUGUGGUUGGAACAUAAAGGAGGAGAAAAUGUUGUUUGUACAUUUUGAGUGAUGGAGUUGACAGAUGAAGACAAGGUUUGGAGUGGGAGUUGAACCAGCAACCCAAGGAUCACAGCCUAAAGUCCUCCGCUCUACCAACUGAGCUAUCGAAGGGUGCUGGGGGAACAAAGGCAGAAAACAUAGUGGCUGAGACAACACACUAUGCCAAAAGGACUAUUCAUCCCAAUAGUCAAUCAUAAGCCCAGCCCUUCCUGCAGAAAAAAGCUCAGUAGUAUGUAUCCAACAGGCAUUGCCAGAGAUCCUGAACUGAUAAUCAGGACUUUUAGGCUGGUUGAAAUAAAAAUAACAACUUGUGGUUGGAACAUAAAGGAGGAGAAAAUGUUUUUUGUACAUUUUGAGUGAUGGAGUUGACAGAUGAAGACAAGGUUUGGAGUGGGAGUUGAACCAGCAACCCAAGGAUCACAGCCUAAAGUCCUCCGCUCUACCAACUGAGCUAUCGAAGGGUGCUGGGGGAACAAAGGCAGAAAACAUAGUGGCUGAGACAACACACUAUGCCAAAAGGACUAUUCAUCCCAAUAGUCAAUCAUAAGCCCAGCCCUUCCUGCAGAAAAAAGCUCAGUAGUUUGUAUCCAACAGGCAUUGCCAGAGAUCCUGAACUGAUAAUCAGGACUUUUAGGCUGGUUGAAAAAAAAUAACAACUUGUGGUUGGAACAUAAAGGAGGAGAAAAUGUUGUUUGUACUUUUGAGUGAUGGAGUUGACAGAUGAAGACAAGGUUUGGAGUGGGAGUUGAACCAGGAACCUAAGGAUCACAGCCUAAAGUCCUCCGCUCUACCAACUGAGCUAUCGAAGGGUGCUGGGGGAAUAAAGGCAGAAAACAUAGUGGCUGAGACAACACACUAUGCUCAAAGGACUAUUCAUCCCAAUAGUCAAUCAUAAGCCCAGCCCUUCCUGCAGAAAAAAGCUCAGUAGUUUGUAUCCAACAGGCAUUGCCAGAGAUCCUGAACUGAUAAUCAGGACUUUUAGGCUGGUUGAAAAAAAAAUAACAACUUGUGGUUGGAACAUAAAGGAGGAGAAAAUGUUGUUUGUACAUUUUGAGUGAUGGAGUUGACAGAUGAAGACAAGGUUUGGAGUGGGAGUUGAACCAGCAACCCAAGGAUCACAGCCUAAAGUCCUCCGCUCUACCAACUGAGCUAUCGAAGGGUGCUGGGGGAAUAAAGGCAGAAAACAUAGUGGCUGAGACAACACACUAUGCUCAAAGGACUAUUCAUCCCAAUAGUCAAUCAUAAGCCCAGCCCUUCCUGCAGAAAAAAGCUCAGUAGUUUGUACCCAACAGGCAUUGCCAGAGAUCCUGAACUGAUAAUCAGGACUUUUAGGCUGGUUGAAAAAAAAAUAACAACUUGUGGUUGGAACAUAAAGGAGGAGUAAAUGGUGUUUGUACAUUUUGAGUGAUGGAGUUGACAGAUGAAGACAAGGUUUGGAGUGGGAGUUGAACAAGCAACCCAAGGAUCACAGCCUAAAGUCCUCCGCUCUACCAACUGAGCUAUCGAAGGGUGCUGGGGGAAAAAAGGCAGAAAACAUAGUGGCUGAGACAACACACUAUGCCAAAAGGACUAUUCAUCCCAAUAGUCAAUCAUAAGCCCAGCCCUUCCUGCAGAAAAAAGCUCAGUAGUUUGUACCCAACAGGCAUUGCCAGAGAUCCUGAACUGAUAAUCAGGACUUUUAGGCUGGUUGAAAAAAAAUAACAACUUGUGGUUGGAACAUAAAGGAGGAGAAAAUGUUGUUUGUACAUUUUUGAGUGAUGGAGUUGGCAGAUGAAGACAAGGUUUGGAGUGGGAGUUGAACCAGCAACCCAAGGAUCACAGCCUAAAGUCCUCCGCUCUACCAACUGAGCUAUGGAAGGGUGCUGGGGGAACAAAGGCAGAAAACAUAGUGGCUGAGACAACACACUACGCCAAAAGGACUAUUCAUCCCAAAAGUCAAUCAUAAACCCAGCCCUUCCUGCAGAAAAAGCUCAGUAGUUUGUACCCAACAGGCAUUGCCAGAGAUCCUGAACUGAUAAUCAGGACUUUUAGGCUGGUUGAAAAAAAAUAACAACUUGUGGUUGGAACAUAAAGGAGGAGAAAAUGUUGUUUGAACAUUUUUGAGUGAUGGAGUUGGCAGAUGAAGACAAGGUUUGGAGUGGGAGUUGAACCAGCAACCCAAGGAUCACAGCCUAAAGUCCUCCGCUCUACCAACUGAGCUAUCGAAGGGUGCUGGGGGAACAAAGGCAGAAAACAUAGUGGCUGAGACAACACACUAUGCCAAAAGGACUAUUCAUCCCAAUAGUCAAUCAUAAGCCCAGCCCUUCCUGCAGAAAAAAGCUCAGUAGUUUGUACCCAACAGGCAUUGCCAGAGAUCCUGAACUGAUAAUCAGGACUUUUAUGCUGGUUGAAAAAAAAAUAACAACUUGUGGUUGGAACAUAAAGGAGGAGAAAAUGUUAUUUGUACAUUUUGAGUGAUGGAGUUGACAGAUGAAGACAAGGUUUGGAGUGGGAGUUGAACCAGCAACCCAAGGAACACAGCCUAAAGUCCUCCGCUCUACCAACUGAGCUAUCGAAGGGUGCUGGGGGAAAAAAGGCAGAAAAAAAAGUGGCUGAGACAACACACUAUGCCAAAAGGACUAUUCAUCCCAAUAGUCAAUCAUAAGCCCAGCCCUUCCUGCAGAAAAAAGCUCAGUAGUAUGUAUCCAACAGGCAUUGCCAGAGAUCCUGAACUGAUAAUCAGGACUUUUAGGCUGGUUGAAAUAAAAAUAACAACUUGUGGUUGGAACAUAAAGGAGGAGAAAAUGUUUUUUGUACAUUUUGAGUGAUGGAGUUGACAGAUGAAGACAAGGUUUGGAGUGGGAGUUGAACCAGCAACCCAAGGAUCACAGCCUAAAGUCCUCCGCUCUACCAACUGAGCUAUCGAAGGGUGCUGGGGGAACAAAGGCAGAAAACAUAGUGGCUGAGACAACACACUAUGCCAAAAGGACUAUUCAUCCCAAUAGUCAAUCAUAAGCCCAGCCCUUCCUGCAGAAAAAAGCUCAGUAGUUUGUAUCCAACAGGCAUUGCCAGAGAUCCUGAACUGAUAAUCAGGACUUUUAGGCUGGUUGAAAAAAAAUAACAACUUGUGGAUGGAACAUAAAGGAGGAGAAAAUGUUGUUUGUACUUUUGAGUGAUGGAGUUGACAGAUGAAGACAAGGUUUGGAGUGGGAGUUGAACCAGCAACCUAAGGAUCACAGCCUAAAGUCCUCCGCUCUACCAACUGAGCUAUCGAAGGGUGCUGGGGGAAUAAAGGCAGAAAACAUAGUGGCUGAGACAACACACUAUGCUCAAAGGACUAUUCAUCCCAAUAGUCAAUCAUAAGCCCAGCCCUUCCUGCAGAAAAAAGCUCAGUAGUUUGUAUCCAACAGGCAUUGCCAGAGAUCCUGAACUGAUAAUCAGGACUUUUAGGCUGGUUGAAAAAAAAUAACAACUUGUGGUUGGAACAUAAAGGAGGAGAAAAUGUUGUUUGUACAUUUUGAGUGAUGGAGUUGACAGAUGAAGACAAGGUUUGGAGUGGGAGUUGAACCAGCAACCCAAGGAUCACAGCCUAAAGUCCUCCGCUCUACCAACUGAGCUAUCGAAGGGUGCUGGGGGAAUAAAGGCAGAAAACAUAGUGGCUGAGACAACACACUAUGCUCAAAGGACUAUUCAUCCCAAUAGUCAAUCAUAAGCCCAGCCCUUCCUGCAGAAAAAAGCUCAGUAGUUUGUACCCAACAGGCAUUGCCAGAGAUCCUGAACUGAUAAUCAGGACUUUUAGGCUGGUUGAAAAAAAAAUAACAACUUGUGGUUGGAACAUAAAGGAGGAGUAAAUGGUGUUUGUACAUUUUGAGUGAUGGAGUUGACAGAUGAAGACAAGGUUUGGAGUGGGAGUUGAACCAGCAACCCAAGGAUCACAGCCUAAAGUCCUCCGCUCUACCAACUGAGCUAUCGAAGGGUGCUGGGGGAACAAAGGCAGAAAACAUAGUGGCUGAGACAACACACUAUGCCAAAAGGACUAUUCAUCCCAAUAGUCAAUCAUAAGCCCAGCCCUUCCUGCAGAAAAAAGCUCAGUAGUUUGUACCCAACAGGCAUUGCCAGAGAUCCUGAACUGAUAAUCAGGACUUUUAGGCUGGUUGAAAAAAAAUAACAACUUGUGGUUGGAACAUAAAGGAGGAGAAAAUGUUGUUUGUACAUUUUGAGUGAUGGAGUUGACAGAUGAAGACAAGGUUUCGAGUGGGAGUUGAACCAGCAACCCAAGGAUCACAGCCUAAAGUCCUCCGCUCUACCAACUGAGCUAUGGAAGGGUGCUGGGGGAACAAAGGCAGAAAACAUAGUGGCUGAGACAACACACUAUGCUCAAAGGACUAUUCAUCCCAAUAGUCAAUCAUAAGCCCAGCCCUUCCUGCAGAAAAAAGCUCAGUAGUUUGUACCCAACAGGCAUUGCCAGAGAUCCUGAACUGAUAAUCAGGACUUUUAGGCUGGUUGAAAAAAAAAUAACAACUUGUGGUUGGAACAUAAAGGAGGAGAAAAUGUUGUUUGUACAUUUUGAGUGAUGGAGUUGACAGAUGAAGACAAGGUUUGGAGUGGGAGUUGAACCAGCAACCCAAGGAUCACAGCCUAAAGUCCUCCGCUCUACCAACUGAGCUAUCGAAGGGUGCUGGGGGAACAAAGGCAGAAAACAUAGUGGCUGAGACAACACACUAUGCCAAAAGGACUAUUCAUCUCAAUAGUCAAUCAUAAGCCCAGCCCUUCCUGCAGAAAAAAGCUCAGUAGUAUGUUUCCAACAGGCAUUGCCAGAGAUCCUGAACUGAUAAUCAGGACUUUUAGGCUGGUUGAAAAAAAAAUAACAACUUGUGGUUGGAACAUAAAGGAGGAGAAAAUGUUGUUUGUACAUUUUGAGUGAUGGAGUUGACAGAUGAAGACAAGGUUUCGAGUGGGAGUUGAACCAGCAACCCAAGGAUCACAGCCUAAAGUCCUCCGCUCUACCAACUGAGCUAUCGAAGGGUGCUGGGGGAACAAAGGCAGAAAACAUAGUGGCUGAGACAACACACUAUGCCAAAAGGACUAUUCAUCCCAAUAGUCAAUCAUAAGCCCAGCCCUUCCUGCAGAAAAAAGCUCAGUAGUUUGUACCCAACAGGCAUUGCCAGAGAUCCUGAACUGAUAAUCAGGACUUUUAUGCUGGUUGAAAAAAAAAUAACAACUUGUGGUUGGAACAUAAAGGAGGAGAAAAUGUUAUUUGUACAUUUUGAGUGAUGGAGUUGACAGAUGAAGACAAGGUUUGGAGUGGGAGUUGAACCAGCAACCCAAGGAUCACAGCCUAAAGUCCUCCGCUCUACCAACUGAGCUAUCGAAGGGUGCUGGGGGAACAAAGGCAGAAAACAUAGUGGCUGAGACAACACACUAUGCCAAAAGGACUAUUCAUCCCAAUAGUCAAUCAUAAGCCCAGCCCUUCCUGCAGAAAAAAGCUCAGUAGUAUGUAUCCAACAGGCAUUGCCAGAGAUCCUGAACUGAUAAUCAGGACUUUUAGGCUGGUUGAAAUAAAAAUAACAACUUGUGGUUGGAACAUAAAGGAGGAGAAAAUGUUUUUUGUACAUUUUGAGUGAUGGAGUUGACAGAUGAAGACAAGGUUUGGAGUGGGAGUUGAACCAGCAACCCAAGGAUCACAGCCUAAAGUCCUCCGCUCUACCAACUGAGCUAUCGAAGGGUGCUGGGGGAACAAAGGCAGAAAACAUAGUGGCUGAGACAACACACUAUGCCAAAAGGACUAUUCAUCCCAAUAGUCAAUCAUAAGCCCAGCCCUUCCUGCAGAAAAAAGCUCAGUAGUUUGUAUCCAACAGGCAUUGCCAGAGAUCCUGAACUGAUAAUCAGGACUUUUAGGCUGGUUGAAAAAAAAUAACAACUUGUGGAUGGAACAUAAAGGAGGAGAAAAUGUUGUUUGUACUUUUGAGUGAUGGAGUUGACAGAUGAAGACAAGGUUUGGAGUGGGAGUUGAACCAGGAACCUAAGGAUCACAGCCUAAAGUCCUCCGCUCUACCAACUGAGCUAUCGAAGGGUGCUGGGGGAAUAAAGGCAGAAAACAUAGUGGCUGAGACAACACACUAUGCUCAAAGGACUAUUCAUCCCAAUAGUCAAUCAUAAGCCCAGCCCUUCCUGCAGAAAAAAGCUCAGUAGUUUGUAUCCAACAGGCAUUGCCAGAGAUCCUGAACUGAUAAUCAGGACUUUUAGGCUGGUUGAAAAAAAAAUAACAACUUGUGGUUGGAACAUAAAGGAGGAGAAAAUGUUGUUUGUACAUUUUGAGUGAUGGAGUUGACAGAUGAAGACAAGGUUUGGAGUGGGAGUUGAACCAGCAACCCAAGGAUCACAGCCUAAAGUCCUCCGCUCUACCAACUGAGCUAUCGAAGGGUGCUGGGGGAAUAAAGGCAGAAAACAUAGUGGCUGAGACAACACACUAUGCUCAAAGGACUAUUCAUCCCAAUAGUCAAUCAUAAGCCCAGCCCUUCCUGCAGAAAAAAGCUCAGUAGUUUGUACCCAACAGGCAUUGCCAGAGAUCCUGAACUGAUAAUCAGGACUUUUAGGCUGGUUGAAAAAAAAAUAACAACUUGUGGUUGGAACAUAAAGGAGGAGUAAAUGGUGUUUGUACAUUUUGAGUGAUGGAGUUGACAGAUGAAGACAAGGUUUGGAGUGGGAGUUGAACAAGCAACCCAAGGAUCACAGCCUAAAGUCCUCCGCUCUACCAACUGAGCUAUCGAAGGGUGCUGGGGGAACAAAGGCAGAAAACAUAGUGGCUGAGACAACACACUAUGCCAAAAGGACUAUUCAUCCCAAUAGUCAAUCAUAAGCCCAGCCCUUCCUGCAGAAAAAAGCUCAGUAGUUUGUACCCAACAGGCAUUGCCAGAGAUCCUGAACUGAUAAUCAGGACUUUUAGGCUGGUUGAAAAAAAAUAACAACUUGUGGUUGGAACAUAAAGGAGGAGAAAAUGUUGUUUGUACAUUUUUGAGUGAUGGAGUUGGCAGAUGAAGACAAGGUUUGGAGUGGGAGUUGAACCAGCAACCCAAGGAUCACAGCCUAAAGUCCUCCGCUCUACCAACUGAGCUAUGGAAGGGUGCUGGGGGAACAAAGGCAGAAAACAUAGUGGCUGAGACAACACACUACGCCAAAAGGACUAUUCAUCCCAAAAGUCAAUCAUAAGCCCAGCCCUUCCUGCAGAAAAAAGCUCAGUAGUUUGUAUCCAACAGGCAUUGCCAGAGAUCCUGAACUGAUAAUCAGGACUUUUAGGCUGGUUGAAAAAAAAAUAACAACUUGUGGUUGGAACAUAAAGGAGGAGUAAAUGUUGUUUGUACAUUUUGAGUGAUGGAGUUGACAGAUGAAGACAAGGUUUGGAGUGGGAGUUGAACCAGCAACCCAAGGAUCACAGCCUAAAGUCCUCCACUCUACCAACUGAGCUAUUGAAGGGUGCUGGGGGAACAAAGGCAGAAAACAUAGUGGCUGAGACAACACACUAUGCCAAAAGGACUAUUCAUCCCAAUAGUCAAUCAUAAGCCCAGCCCUUCCUGCAGAAAAAAGCUCAGUAGUUUGUAUCCAACAGGCAUUGCCAGAGAUCCUGAACUGAUAAUCAGGACUUUUAGGCUGGUUGAAAAAAAAAUAACAACUUGUGGUUGGAACAUAAAGGAGGAGAAAAUGUUGUUUGUACAUUUUGAGUGAUGGAGUUGACAGAUGAAGACAAGGUUUGGAGUGGGAGUUGAACCAGCAACCCAAGGAUCACAGCCUAAAGUCCUCCGCUCUAACAACUGAGCUAUCGAAGGGUGCUGGGGGAACAAAGGCAGAAAACAUAGUGGCUGAGACAACACACUAUGCCAAAAGGACUAUUCAUCCCAAUAGUCAAUCAUAAGCCCAGCCCUUCCUGCAGAAAAAAGCUCAGUAGUUUGUAUCCAACAGGCAUUGCAAGAGAUCCUGAACUGAUAAUCAGGACUUUUAGGCUGGUUGAAAAAAAAUAACAACUUGUGGUUGGAACAUAAAGGAGGAGAAAAUGUUUGUACAUUUUGAGUGAUGGAGUUGACAGAUGAAGACAAGGUUUGGAUUGGGAGUUGAACCAGCAACCCAAGGAUCACAGCCUAAAGUCCUCCGCUCUACCAACUGAGCUAUCGAAGGGUGCUGGGGGAAUAAAGGCAGAAAACAUAGUGGCUGAGACAACACACUAUGCCAAAAGGACUAUUGAUCCCAAUAGUCAAUCAUAAGCCCAGCCCUUCCUGCAGAAAAAAGCUCAGUAGUUUGUAUCCAACAGGCAUUGCAAGAGAUCCUGAACUGAUAAUCAGGACUUUUAGGCUGGUUGAAAAAAAAAUAACAACUUGUGGUUGGAACAUAAAGGUGGAGAAAAUGUUGUUUGUACAUUUUCAGUGAUGGAGUUGACAGAUGAAGACAAGGUUUGGAGUGGGAGUUGAACCAGCAACCCAAGGAUCACAGCCUAAAGUCCUCCGCUCUACCAACUGAGCUAUCGAAGGGUGCUGGGGGAACAAAGGCAGAAAACAUAGUGGCUGAGACAACACACUAUGCCAAAAGGACUAUUCAUCCCAAUAGUCAAUCAUAAGCCCAGCCCUUCCUGCAGAAAAAAGCUCAGUAGUUUGUAUCCAACAGGCAUUGCCAGAGAUCCAGAACUGAUAAUCAGGACUUUUAGGCUGGUUGAAAAAAAAAUAACAACUUGUGGUUGGAACAUAAAGGAGGAGAAAAUGGUGUUUGUACAUUUUGAGUGAUGGAGUUGACAGAUGAAGAGAAGGUUUGGAAUGGGAGUUGAACCAGCAACCCAAGGAUCACAGCCUAAAGUCCUCCGCUCUACCAACUGAGCUAUCGAAGGGUGGUGGCGGAAUAAAGGCAGAAAACAUAGUGGCUGAGACAACACACUAUGCCAAAAGGACUAUUCAUCCCAAUAGUCAAUCAUAAGCCCAGCCCUUCCUGCAGAAAAAAGCUCAGUAGUUUGUACCCAACAGGCAUUGCCAGAGAUCCUGAACUGAUAAUCAGGACUUUUAGGCUGGUUGAAAAAAAAUAACAACUUGUGGUUGGAACAUAAAGGAGGAGAAAAUGUUGUUUGUACAUUUUGAGUGAUGGAGUUGACAGAUGAAGACAAGGUUUGGAGUGGGAGUUGAACCAGCAACCCAAGGAACACAGCCUAAAGUCCACCGCUCUACCAAUUGAGCUAUCGAAGGGUGCUGGGGGAAUAAAGGCAGAAAACAUAGUGGCUGAGACAACACACUAUGCCAAAAGGACUAUUCAUCCCAAUAGUCAAUCAUAAGCCCAGCCCUUCCUGCAGAAAAAAGCUCAGUAGUUUGUACCCAACAGGCAUUGCCAGAGAUCCUGAACUGAUAAUCAGGACUUUUAGGCUGGUUGAAAAAAAAUAACAACUUGUGGUUGGAACAUAAAGGAGGAGAAAAUGUGUUUUGUACAUUUUGAGUGAUGGAGUUGACAGAUGAAGACAAGGUUUGGAGUGGGAGUUGAACCAGCAACCUAAGGAUCACAGCCUAAAGUCCUCCGCUCUACCAACUGAGCUAUGGAAGGGUGCUGGGGGAACAAAGGCAGAAAACAUAGUGGCUGAGACAACACACUACGCCAAAAGGACUAUUCAUCCCAAAAGUCAAUCAUAAGCCCAGCCCUUCCUGCAGAAAAAAGCUCAGUAGUUUGUACCCAACAGGCAUUGCCAGAGAUCCUGAACUGAUAAUCAGGACUUUUAGGCUGGUUGAAAAAAAAUAACAACUUGUGGUUGGAACAUAAAGGAGGAGAAAAUGUUGUUUGAACAUUUUUGAGUGAUGGAGUUGGCAGAUGAAGACAAGGUUUGGAGUGGGAGUUGAACCAGCAACCCAAGGAUCACAGCCUAAAGUCCUCCGCUCUACCAACUGAGCUAUCGAAGGGUGCUGGGGGAACAAAGGCAGAAAACAUAGUGGCUGAGACAACACACUAUGCCAAAAGGACUAUUCAUCCCAAUAGUCAAUCAUAAGCCCAGCCCUUCCUGCAGAAAAAAGCUCAGUAGUUUGUACCCAACAGGCAUUGCCAGAGAUCCUGAACUGAUAAUCAGGACUUUUAUGCUGGUUGAAAAAAAAAAACAACUUGUGGUUGGAACAUAAAGGAGGAGAAAAUGUUGUUUGUACAUUUUGAGUGAUGGAGUUGACAGAUGAAGACAAGGUUUGGAGUGGGAGUUGAACCAGCAACCCAAGGAACACAGCCUAAAGUCCUCCGCUCUACCAACUGAGCUAUCGAAGGGUGCUGGGGGAAAAAAGGCAGAAAAAAAAGUGGCUGAGACAACACACUAUGCCAAAAGGACUAUUCAUCCCAAUAGUCAAUCAUAAGCCCAGCCCUUCCUGCAGAAAAAAGCUCAGUAGUAUGUAUCCAACAGGCAUUGCCAGAGAUCCUGAACUGAUAAUCAGGACCUUUAGGCUGGUUGAAAUAAAAAUAACAACUUGUGGUUGGAACAUAAAGGAGGAGAAAAUGUUUUUUGUACAUUUUGAGUGAUGGAGUUGACAGAUGAAGACAAGGUUUGGAGUGGGAGUUGAACCAGCAACCCAAGGAUCACAGCCUAAAGUCCUCCGCUCUACCAACUGAGCUAUCGAAGGGUGCUGGGGGAACAAAGGCAGAAAACAUAGUGGCUGAGACAACACACUAUGCCAAAAGGACUAUUCAUCCCAAUAGUCAAUCAUAAGCCCAGCCCUUCCUGCAGAAAAAAGCUCAGUAGUUUGUAUCCAACAGGCAUUGCCAGAGAUCCUGAACUGAUAAUCAGGACUUUUAGGCUGGUUGAAAAAAAAUAACAACUUGUGGAUGGAACAUAAAGGAGGAGAAAAUGUUGUUUGUACUUUUGAGUGAUGGAGUUGACAGAUGAAGACAAGGUUUGGAGAGGGAGUUGAACCAGCAACCUAAGGAUCACAGCCUAAAGUCCUCCGCUCUACCAACUGAGCUAUCGAAGGGUGCUGGGGGAAUAAAGGCAGAAAACAUAGUGGCUGAGACAACACACUAUGCUCAAAAGGACUAUUCAUCCCAAUAGUCAAUCAUAAGCCCAGCCCUUCCUGCAGAAAAAAGCUCAGUAGUUUGUAUCCAACAGGCAUUGCCAGAGAUCCUGAACUGAUAAUCAGGACUUUUAGGCUGGUUGAAAAAAAAAUAACAACUUGUGGUUGGAACAUAAAGGAGGAGAAAAUGUUGUUUGUACAUUUUGAGUGAUGGAGUUGACAGAUGAAGACAAGGUUUGGAGUGGGAGUUGAACCAGCAACCCAAGGAUCACAGCCUAAAGUCCUCCGCUCUACCAACUGAGCUAUCGAAGGGUGCUGGGGGAAUAAAGGCAGAAAACAUAGUGGCUGAGACAACACACUAUGCUCAAAGGACUAUUCAUCCCAAUAGUCAAUCAUAAGCCCAGCCCUUCCUGCAGAAAAAAGCUCAGUAGUUUGUACCCAACAGGCAUUGCCAGAGAUCCUGAACUGAUAAUCAGGACUUUUAGGCUGGUUGAAAAAAAAAUAACAACUUGUGGUUGGAACAUAAAGGAGGAGUAAAUGGUGUUUGUACAUUUUGAGUGAUGGAGUUGACAGAUGAAGACAAGGUUUGGAGUGGGAGUUGAACCAGCAACCCAAGGAUCACAGCCUAAAGUCCUCCGCUCUACCAACUGAGCUAUCGAAGGGUGCUGAGGGAACAAAGGCAGAAAACAUAGUGGCUGAGACAACACACUAUGCCAAAAGGACUAUUCAUCCCAAUAGUCAAUCAUAAGCCCAGCCCUUCCUGCAGAAAAAAGCUCAGUAGUUUGUACCCAACAGGCAUUGCCAGAGAUCCUGAACUGAUAAUCAGGACUUUUAGGCUGGUUGAAAAAAAAUAACAACUUGUGGUUGGAACAUAAAGGAGGAGAAAAUGUUGUUUGUACAUUUUGAGUGAUGGAGUUGACAGAUGAAGACAAGGUUUGGAGUGGGAGUUGAACCAGCAACCCAAGGAUCACAGCCUAAAGUCCUCCGCUCUACCAACUGAGCUAUGGAAGGGUGCUGGGGGAACAAAGGCAGAAAACAUAGUGGCUGAGACAACACACUAUGCCAAAAGGACUAUUCAUCCCAAUAGUCAAUCAUAAGCCCAGCCCUUCCUGCAGAAAAAAGCUCAGUAGUUUGUAUCCAACAGGCAUUGCCAGAGAUCCUGAACUGAUAAUCAGGACUUUUAGGCUGGUUGAAAAAAAAAUAACAACUUGUGGUUGGAACAUAAAGGAGGAAAAAAAUUUUUGUACAUUUUGAGUGAUGGAGUUGACAGAUGAAGACAAGGUUUGGAGUGGGAGUUGAACCAGCAACCCAAGGAUCACAGCCUAAAGUCCUCCACUCUACCAACUGAGCUAUCGAAGGGUGCUUGGGCAACAAAGGCAGAAAACAUAGUGGCUGAGACAACACACUAUGCCAAUAGGACUAUUCAUCCCAAUAGUCAAUCAUAAGCCCAGCCCUUCCUGCAGAAAAAAGCUCAGUAGUUUGUAUCCAACAGGCAUUGCCAGAGAUCCUGAACUGAUAAUCAGGACUUUUAGGCUGGUUGAAAAAAAAAUAACAACUUGUGGUUGGAACAUAAAGGAGGAGAAAAUGUUGUUUGUACUUUUGAGUGAUGGAGUUGACAGAUGAAGACAAGGUUUGGAGUGGGAGUUGAACCAGCAACCCAAGGAUCACAGCCUAAAGUCCUCCGCUCUAACAACUGAGCUAUCGAAGGGUGCUGGGGGAACAAAGGCAGAAAACAUAGUGGCUGAGACAACACACUAUGCCAAAAGGACUAUUCAUCCCAAUAGUCAAUCAUAAGCCCAGCCCUUCCUGCAGAAAAAAGCUCAGUAGUUUGUAUCCAACAGGCAUUGCAAGAGAUCCUGAACUGAUAAUCAGGACUUUUAGGCUGGUUGAAAAAAAAUAACAACUUGUGGUUGGAACAUAAAGGAGGAGAAAAUGUUUGUACAUUUUGAGUGAUGGAGUUGACAGAUGAAGACAAGGUUUGGAGUGGGAGUUGAACCAGCAACCCAAGGAUCACAGCCUAAAGUCCUCCGCUCUACCAACUGAGCUAUCGAAGGGUGCUGGGGGAAUAAAGGCAGAAAACAUAGUGGCUGAGACAACACACUAUGCCAAAAGGACUAUUGAUCCCAAUAGUCAAUCAUAAGCCCAGCCCUUCCUGCAGAAAAAAGCUCAGUAGUUUGUAUCCAACAGGCAUUGCAAGAGAUCCUGAACUGAUAAUCAGGACUUUUAGGCUGGUUGAAAAAAAAAUAACAACUUGUGGUUGGAACAUAAAGGUGGAGAAAAUGUUGUUUGUACAUUUUCAGUGAUGGAGUUGACAGAUGAAGACAAGGUUUGGAGUGGGAGUUGAACCAGCAACCCAAGGAUCACAGCCUAAAGUCCUCCGCUCUACCAACUGAGCUAUCGAAGGGUGCUGGGGGAACAAAGGCAGAAAACAUAGUGGCUGAGACAACACACUAUGCCAAAAGGACUAUUCAUCCCAAUAGUCAAUCAUAAGCCCAGCCCUUCCUGCAGAAAAAAGCUCAGUAGUUUGUAUCCAACAGGCAUUGCCAGAGAUCCUGAACUGAUAAUCAGGACUUUUAGGCUGGUUGAAAAAAAAAUAACAACUUGUGGUUGGAACAUAAAGGAGGAGAAAAUGGUGUUUGUACAUUUUGAGUGAUGGAGUUGACAGAUGAAGAGAAGGUUUGGAAUGGGAGUUGAACCAGCAACCCAAGGAUCACAGCCUAAAGUCCUCCGCUCUACCAACUGAGCUAUCGAAGGGUGGUGGCGGAAUAAAGGCAGAAAACAUAGUGGCUGAGACAACACACUAUGCCAAAAGGACUAUUCAUCCCAAUAGUCAAUCAUAAGCCCAGCCCUUCCUGCAGAAAAAAGCUCAGUAGUUUGUACCCAACAGGCAUUGCCAGAGAUCCUGAACUGAUAAUCAGGACUUUUAGGCUGGUUGAAAAAAAAUAACAACUUGUGGUUGGAACAUAAAGGAGGAGAAAAUGUUGUUUGUACAUUUUGAGUGAUGGAGUUGACAGAUGAAGACAAGGUUUGGAGUGGGAGUUGAACCAGCAACCCAAGGAACACAGCCUAAAGUCCACCGCUCUACCAAUUGAGCUAUCGAAGGGUGCUGGGGGAAUAAAGGCAGAAAACAUAGUGGCUGAGACAACACACUAUGCCAAAAGGACUAUUCAUCCCAAUAGUCAAUCAUAAGCCCAGCCCUUCCUGCAGAAAAAAGCUCAGUAGUUUGUACCCAACAGGCAUUGCCAGAGAUCCUGAACUGAUAAUCAGGACUUUUAGGCUGGUUGAAAAAAAAUAACAACUUGUGGUUGGAACAUAAAGGAGGAGAAAAUGUGUUUUGUACAUUUUGAGUGAUGGAGUUGACAGAUGAAGACAAGGUUUGGAGUGGGAGUUGAACCAGCAACCCAAGGAUCACAGCCUAAAGUCCUCCGCUCUACCAACUGAGCUAUCGAAGGGUGCUGGGGGAACAAAGGCAGAAAACAUAGUGGCUGAGACAACACACUAUGCCAAAAGGACUAUUGAUCCCAAUAGUCAAUCAUAAGCCCAGCCCUUCCUGCAGAAAAAAGCUCAGUAGUUUGUACCCAACAGGCAUUGCCAGAGAUCCUGAACUGAUAAUCAGGACUUUUAGGCUGGUUGAAAAAAAAUAACAACUUGUGGUUGGAACAUAAAGGAGGAGUAAAUGUUGUUUGUACAUUUUGAGUGAUGGAGUUGACAGAUGAAGACAAGGUUUGGAGUGGGAGUUGAACCAGCAACCCAAGGAACACAGCCUAAAGUCCUCCGCUCUACCAAUUGAGCUAUCGAAGGGUGCUGGGGGAAUAAAGGCAGAAAACAUAGUGGCUGAGACAACACACUAUGCCAAAAGGACUAUUCAUCCCAAUAGUCAAUCAUAAGCCCAGCCCUUCCUGCAGAAAAAAGCUCUGUAGUUUGUACCCAACAGGCAUUGCCAGAGAUCCUGAACUGAUAAUCAGGACUUUUAGGCUGGUUGAAAUAAAAAUAACAACUUGUGGUUGGAACAUAAAGGAGGAGAAAAUGUUGUUUGUACAUUUUCAGUGAUGGAGUUGACAGAUGAAGACAAGGUUUGGAGUGGGAGUUGAACCAGCAACCCAAGGAUCACAGCCUAAAGUCCUCCGCUCUACCAACUGAGCUAUUGAAGGGUGCUGGGGCAAUAAAGGCAGAAAACAUAGUGGCUGAGACAACACACUAUGCUCAAAGGACUAUUCAUCCCAAUAGUCAAUCAUAAGCCCAGCCCUUCCUGCAGAAAAAAGCUCAGUAGUUUGUACCCAACAGGCAUUGCCAGAGAUCCUGAACUGAUAAUCAGGACUUUUAGGCUGGUUGAAAUAAAAAUAACAACUUGUGGUUGGAACAUAAAGGAGGAGAAAAUGUUGUUUGUACAUUUUGAGUGAUGGAGUUGACAGAUGAAGACAAGGUUUGGAGUGGGAGUUGAACCAGCAACCCAAGGAUCACAGCCUAAAGUCCUCCACUCUACGAACUGAGCUAUUGAAGGGUGCUGGGGGAACAAAGGCAGAAAACAUAGUGGCUGAGACAACACACUAUGCCAAAAGGACUAUUCAUCCCAAUAGUCAAUCAUAAGCCCAGCCCUUCCUGCAGAAAAAAGCUCAGUAGUUUGUAUCCAACAGGCAUUGCCAGAGAUCCUGAACUGAUAAUCAGGACUUUUAGGCUGGUUGAAAAAAAAAUAACAACUUGUGGUUGGAACAUAAAGGAGGAGAAAAUGUUGUUUGUACAUUUUGAGUGAUGGAGUUGACAGAUGAAGACAAGGUUUGGAGUGGGAGUUGAACCAGCAACCCAAGGAUCACAGCCUAAAGUCCUCCGCUCUAACAACUGAGCUAUCGAAGGGUGCUGGGGGAACAAAGGCAGAAAACAUAGUGGCUGAGACAACACACUAUGCCAAAAGGACUAUUCAUCCCAAUAGUCAAUCAUAAGCCCAGCCCUUCCUGCAGAAAAAAGCUCAGUAGUUUGUAUCCAACAGGCAUUGCCAGAGAUCCUGAACUGAUAAUCAGGACUUUUAGGCUGGUUGAAAAAAAAAUAACAACUUGUGGUUGGAACAUAAAGGAGGAGAAAAUGUUGUUUGUAAAUUUUGAGUGAUGGAGUUGACAGAUGAAGAGAAGGUUUGGAAUGGGAGUUGAACCAGCAACCCAAGGAUCACAGCCUAAAGUCCUCCGCUCUACCAACUGAGCUAUCGAAGGGUGCUGGCGGAAUAAAGGCAGAAAACAUAGUGGCUGAGACAACACACUAUGCCAAAAGGACUAUUCAUCCCAAUAGUCAAUCAUAAGCCCAGCCCUUCCUGCAGAAAAAAGCUCAGUAGUUUGUACCCAACAGGCAUUGCCAGAGAUCCUGAACUGAUAAUCAGGACUUUUAGGCUGGUUGAAAAAAAAUAACAACUUGUGGUUGGAACAUAAAGGAGGAGAAAAUGUUUUUUGUACAUUUUGAGUGAUGGAGUUGACAGAUGAAGACAAGGUUUGGAGUGGGAGAUGAACCAGCAACCCAAGGAACACAGCCUAAAGUCCACCGCUCUACCAAUUGAGCUAUCGAAGGGUGCUGGGGGAAUAAAGGCAGAAAACAUAGUGGCUGAGACAACACACUAUGCCAAAAGGACUAUUCAUCCCAAUAGUCAAUCAUAAGCCCAGCCCUUCCUGCAGAAAAAAGCUCAGUAGUUUGUACCCAACAGGCAUUGCCAGAGAUCCUGAACUGAUAAUCAGGACUUUUAGGCUGGUUGAAAAAAAAUAACAACUUGUGGUUGGAACAUAAAGGAGGAGAAAAUGUGUUUUGUACAUUUUGAGUGAUGGAGUUGACAGAUGAAGACAAGGUUUGGAGUGGGAGUUGAACCAGCAACCCAAGGAUCACAGCCUAAAGUCCUCCGCUCUACCAACUGAGCUAUCGAAGGGUGCUGGGGGAACAAAGGCAGAAAACAUAGUGGCUGAGACAACACACUAUGCCAAAAGGACUAUUGAUCCCAAUAGUCAAUCAUAAGCCCAGCCCUUCCUGCAGAAAAAAGCUCAGUAGUUUGUACCCAACAGGCAUUGCCAGAGAUCCUGAACUGAUAAUCAGGACUUUUAGGCUGGUUGAAAAAAAAUAACAACUUGUGGUUGGAACAUAAAGGAGGAGUAAAUGUUGUUUGUACAUUUUGAGUGAUGGAGUUGACAGAUGAAGACAAGGUUUGGAAUGGGAGUUGAACCAGCAACCCAAGGAUCACAGCCUAAAGUCCUCCGCUCUACCAACUGAGCUAUCGAAGGGUGCUGGGGGAAUAAAGGCAGAAAACAUAGUGGCUGAGACAACACACUAUGCCAAAAGGACUAUUCAUCCCAAUAGUCAAUCAUAAGCCCAGCCCUUCCUGCAGAAAAAAGCUCUGUAGUUUGUACCCAACAGGCAUUGCCAGAGAUCCUGAACUGAUAAUCAGGACUUUUAGGCUGGUUGAAAUAAAAAUAACAACUUGUGGUUGGAACAUAAAGGAGGAGAAAAUGUUGUUUGUACAUUUUGAGUGAUGGAGUUGACAGAUGAAGACAAGGUUUGGAGUGGGAGUUGAACCAGCAACCCAAGGAUCACAGCCUAAAGUCCUCCGCUCUACCAACUGAGCUAUCGAAGGGUGCUGGGGCAAUAAAGGCAGAAAACAUAGUGGCUGAGACAACACACUAUGCUCAAAGGACUAUUCAUCCCAAUAGUCAAUCAUAAGCCCAGCCCUUCCUGCAGAAAAAAGCUCAGUAGUUUGUACCCAACAGGCAUUGCCAGAGAUCCUGAACUGAUAAUCAGGACUUUUAGGCUGGUUGAAAUAAAAAUAACAACUUGUGGUUGGAACAUAAAGGAGGAGAAAAUGUUGUUUGUACAUUUUGAGUGAUGAAGUUGACAGAUGAAGACAAGGUUUGGAGUGGGAGUUGAACCAGCAACCCAAGGAUCACAGCCUAAAGUCCUCCGCUCUACCAACUGAGCUAUCGAAGGGAGGUGGGGGAACAAAGGCAGAAAACAUAGUGGCUGAGACAACACACUAUGCCAAAAGGACUAUUGAUCCCAAUAGUCAAUCAUAAGCCCAGCCCUUCCUGCAGAAAAAAGCUCAGUAGUUUGUACCCAACAGGCAUUGCCAGAGAUCCUGAACUGAUAAUCAGGACUUUUAGGCUGGUUGAAAAAAAAUAACAACUUGUGGUUGGAACAUAAAGGAGGAGAAAAUGUUGUUUGUACAUUUUGAGUGAUGGAGUUGACAGAUGAAGACAAGGUUUGGAGUGGGAGUUGAACCAGCAACCCAAGGAUCACAGCCUAAAGUCCUCCGCUCUACAAACUGAGCUAUCGAAGGGUGCUGGGAGAACAAAGGCAGAAAACAUAGUGGCUGAGACAACACACUAUGCCAAAAGGACUAUUCAUCCCAAAAGUCAAUCAUAAGCCCAGCCCUUCCUGCAGAAAAAAGCUCAGUAGUUUGUACCAAACAGGCAUUGCCAGAGAUCCUGAAGUGAUAAUCAGGACUUUUAGGCUGGUUGAAAAAAAAAUAACAACUUGUGGUUGGAACAUAAAGGAGGAGAAAAUGUUGUUUGUACAUUUUGAGUGAUGGAGUUGACAGAUGAAGACAAGGUUUGGAGUGGGAGUUGAACCAGCAACCCAAGGAUCACAGCCUAAAGUCCUCCGCUCUACCAACUGAGCUAUCGAAGGGAGGUGGGGGAACAAAGGCAGAAAACAUAGUGGCUGAGACAACACACUAUGCCAAAAGGACUAUUCAUCCCAAUAGUCAAUCAUAAGCCCAGCCCUUCCUGCAGAAAAAAGCUCAGUAGUUUGUACCCAACAGGCAUUGCCAGAGAUCCUGAACUGAUAAUCAGGACUUUUAGGCUGGUUGAAAAAAAAUAACAACUUGUGGUUGGAACAUAAAGGAGGAGAAAAUGUGUUUUGUACAUUUUGAGUGAUGGAGUUGACAGAUGAAGACAAGGUUUGGAGUGGGAGUUGAACCAGCAACCCAAGGAUCACAGCCUAAAGUCCUCCGCUCUACCAACUGAGCUAUCGAAGGGUGCUGGGGGAAUAAAGGCAGAAAACAUAGUGGCUGAGACAACACACUAUGCCAAAAGGACUAUUGAUCCCAAUAGUCAAUCAUAAGCCCAGCCCUUCCUGCAGAAAAAAGCUCAGUAGUUUGUAUCCAACAGGCAUUGCAAGAGAUCCUGAACUGAUAAUCAGGACUUUUAGGCUGGUUGAAAAAAAAAUAACAACUUGUGGUUGGAACAUAAAGGUGGAGAAAAUGUUGUUUGUACAUUUUGAGUGAUGGAGUUGACAGAUGAAGACAAGGUUUGGAGUGGGAGUUGAACCAGCAACCCAAGGAUCACAGCCUAAAGUCCUCCGCUCUACCAACUGAGCUAUUGAAGGGUGCUGGGGGAACAAAGGCAGAAAACAUAGUGGCUGAGACAACACACUAUGCCAAAAGGACUAUUCAUCCCAAUAGUCAAUCAUAAGCCCAGCCCUUCCUGCAGAAAAAAGCUCAGUAGUUUGUAUCCAACAGGCAUUGCCAGAGAUCCUGAACUGAUAAUCAGGACUUUUAGGCUGGUUGAAAAAAAAAUAACAACUUGUGGUUGGAACAUAAAGGAGGAGAAAAUGUUGUUUGUACAUUUUGAGUGAUGGAGUUGACAGAUGAAGAGAAGGUUUGGAAUGGGAGUUGAACCAGCAACCCAAGGAUCACAGCCUAAAGUCCUCCGCUCUACCAACUGAGCUAUCGAAGGGUGCUGGAGGAAUAAAGGCAGAAAACAUAGUGGCUGAGACAACACACUAUGCCAAAAGGACUAUUCAUCCCAAUAGUCAAUCAUAAGCCCAGCCCUUCCUGCAGAAAAAAGCUCAUUAGUUUGUACCCAACAGGCAUUGCCAGAGAUCCUGAACUGAUAAUCAGGACUUUUAGGCUGGUUGAAAUAAAAAUAACAACUUGUGGUUGGAACAUAAAGGAGGAGAAAAUGUUGUUUGUACAUUUUGAGUGAUGGAGUUGACAGAUGAAGAGAAGGUUUGGAGUGGGAGUUGAACCAGCAACCCAAGGAUCACAGCCUAAAGUCCUCCGCUCUACCAACUGAGCUAUCGAAGGGUGCUGGGGGAAUAAAGGCAGAAAACAUAGUGGCUGAGACAACACACUAUGCCAAAAGGACUAUUCAUCCCAAUAGUCAAUCAUAAGCCCAGCCCUUCCUGCAGAAAAAAGCUCAGUAGUUUGUACCAAACAGGCAUUGCCAGAGAUCCUGAACUGAUAAUCAGGACUUUUAGGCUGGUUGAAAAAAAAUAACAACUUGUGGUUGGAACAUAAAGGAGGAGAAAAUGUUGUUUGUACAUUUUGAGUGAUGGAGUUGACAGAUGAGGACAAGGUUUGGAGUGGGAGUUGAACCAGCAACCCAAGGAACACAGCCUAAAGUCCUCUGCUCUACCAAUUGAGCUAUCGAAGGGUGCUGCGGGAACAAAGGCAGAAAACAUAGUGGCUGAGACAACACACUAUGCCAAAAGGACUAUUCAUCCCAAUAGUCAAUCAGAAGCCCAGCCCUUCCUGCAGAAAAAAGCUCAGUAGUUUGUACCCAACAGGCAUUGCCAGAGAUCCUGAACUGAUAAUCAGGACUUUUAGGCUGGUUGAAAAAAAAAUAACAACUUGUGGUUGGAACAUAAAGGAGGAGAAAAUGUUGUUUGUACAUUUUGAGUGAUGGAGUUGACAGAUGAAGACAAGGUUUGGAGUGGGAGUUGAACCAGCAACCCAAGGAUCACAGCCUAAAGUCCUCCGCUCUACCAACUGAGCUAUCGAAGGGUGCUGGGGGAACUAAGGCAGAAAACAUAGUGGCUGAGACAACACACUAUGCUCAAAGGACUAUUCAUCCCAAUAGUCAAUCAUAAGCCCAGCCCUUCCUGCAGAAAAAAGCUCAGUAGUUUGUACCCAACAGGCAUUGCCAGAGAUCCUGAACUGAUAAUCAGGACUUUUAGGCUGGUUGAAAAAAAUAACAACUUGUGGUUGGAACAUAAAGGAGGAGAAAAUGUUGUUUGUACAUUUUGAGUUGACAGAUGAAGACAAGGUUUGGAGUGGGAGUUGAACCAGCAACCCAAGGAUCACAGCCUAAAGUCCUCCGCUCUACCAACUGAGCUAUCGAAGGGUGCUGGGGGAACAAAGGCAGAAAACAUAGUGGCUGAGACAACACACUAUGCCAAAAGGACUAUUCAUCCCAAUAGUCAAUCAGAAGCCCAGCCCUUCCUGCAGAAAAAAGCUCAGUAGUUUGUACCCAACAGGCAUUGCCAGAGAUCCUGAACUGAUAAUCAGGACUUUUAGGCUGGUUGAAAAAAAAUAACAACUUGUGGUUGGAACAUAAAGGAGGAGAAAAUGUUGUUUGUACAUUUUGAGUGAUGGAGUUGGCAGAUGAAGACAAGGUUUGGAGUGGGAGUUGAACCAGCAACCCAAGGAUCACAGCCUAAAGUCCUCCGCUCUACCAACUGAGCUAUCGAAGGGUGCUGGGGGAACAAAGGCAGAAAACAUAGUGGCUGAGACAACACACUAUGCCAAAAGGACUAUUCAUCCCAAUAGUCAAUCAUAAGCCCAGCCCUUCAUGCAGAAAAAAGCUCAGUAGUUUGUACCCAACAGGCAUUGCCAGAGAUCCUGAACUGAUAAUCAGGACUUUUAGGCUGGUUGAAAAAAAAUAACAACUUGUGGUUGGAACAUAAAGGAGGAGAAAAUGUUGUUUGUACAUUUUGAGUGAUGGAGUUGACAGAUGAAGACAAGGUUUGGAGUGGGAGUUGAACCAGCAACCCAAGGAACACAGCCUAAAGUCCUCCGCUCUACCAAUUGAGCUAUCGAAGGGUGCUGGGGGAAUAAAGGCAGAAAACAUAGUGGCUGAGACAACACACUAUGCUCAAAGGACUAUUCAUCCCAAUAGUCAAUCAUAAGCCCAGCCCUUCCUGCAGAAAAAAGCUCAGUAGUUUGUACCCAACAGGCAUUGCCAGAGAUCCUGAACUGAUAAUCAGGACUUUUAGGCUGGUUGAAAUAAAAAUAACAACUUGUGGUUGGAACAUAAAGUAGGAGAAAAUUUGUUUGUACAUUUUGAGUGAUGGAGUUGACAGAUGAAGACAAGGUUUCGAGUGGGAGUUGAACCAGCAACCCCAGGAUCACAGCCUAAAGUCCUCCGCUCUACCAACUGAGCUAUGGAAGGGUGCUGGGGGAACAAAGGCAGAAAACAUAGUGGCUGAGACAACACACUAUGCUCAAAGGACUAUUCAUCCCAAUAGUCAAUCAUAAGCCCAGCCCUUCCUGCAGAAAAAAGCUCAGUAGUUUGUACCCAACAGGCAUUGCCAGAGAUCCUGAAGUGAUAAUCAGGACUUUUAGGCUGGUUGAAAAAAAAAUAACAACUUGUGGUUGGAACAUAAAGGAGGAGAAAAUGUUGUUUGUACAUUUUGAGUUGACAGAUGAAGACAAGGUUUGGAGUGGGAGUUGAACCAGCAACCCAAGGAUCACAGCCUAAAGUCCUCCGCUCUACCAACUGAGCUAUCGAAGGGUGCUGGGGGAACAAAGGCAGAAAACAUAGUGGCUGAGACAACACACUAUGCCAAAAGGACUAUUCAUCCCAAUAGUCAAUCAUAAGCCCAGCCCUUCCUGCAGAAAAAAGCUCAGUAGUUUGUAUCCAACAGGCAUUGCCAGAGAUCCUGAACUGAUAAUCAGGACUUUUAGGCUGGUUGAAAAAAAAUAACAACUUGUGGUUGGAACAUAAAGGAGGAGAAAAUGUUGUUUGUACAUUUUGAGUGAUGGAGUUGGCAGAUGAAGACAAGGUUUCGAGUGGGAGUUGAACCAGCAACCCAAGGAUCACAGCCUAAAGUCCUCCGCUCUACCAACUGAGCUAUCGAAGGGUGCUGGGGGAACAAAGGCAGAAAACAUAGUGGCUGAGACAACACACUAUGCCAAAAGGACUAUUCAUCCCAAUAGUCAAUCAUAAGCCCAGCCCUUCCUGCAGAAAAAAGCUCAGUAGUUUGUACCCAACAGGCAUUGCCAGAGAUCCUGAACUGAUAAUCAGGACUUUUAGGCUGGUUGAAAAAAAUAACAACUUGUGGUUGGAACAUAAAGGAGGAGAAAAUGUUGUUUGUACAUUUUGAGUGAUGGAGUUGGCAGAUGAAGACAAGGUUUGGAGUGGGAGUUGAACCAGCAACCCAAGGAUCACAGCCUAAAGUCCUCCGCUCUACCAACUGAGCUAUCGAAGGGUGCUGGGGGAACAAAGGCAGAAAACAUAGUGGCUGAGACAACACACUAUGCCAAAAGGACUAUUCAUCCCAAUAGUCAAUCAUAAGCCCAGCCCUUCCUGCAGAAAAAAGCUCAGUAGUUUGUAUCCAACAGGCAUUGCCAGAGAUCCUGAACUGAUAAUCAGGACUUUUAGGCUGGUUGAAAAAAAAAUUACAACUUGUGGUUGGAACAUUAAGGAGGAGAAAAUGUUGUUUGUACAUUUUGAGUGAUGGAGUUGACAGAUGAAGACAAGGUUUGGAAUGGGAGUUGAACCAGCAACCCAAGGAUCACAGCCUAAAGUCCUCCGCUCUACCAACUGAGCUAUCGAAGGGUGCUGGGGGAACAAAGGCAGAAAACAUAGUGGCUGAGACAACACACUAUGCCAAAAGGACUAUUCAUCCCAAUAGUCAAUCAUAAGCCCAGCCCUUCCUGCAGAAAAAAGCUCAGUAGUUUGUACCCAACAGGCAUUGCCAGAGAUCCUGAACUGAUAAUCAGGACUUUUAGGCUGGUUGAAAAAAAAUAACAACUUGUGGUUGGAACAUAAAGGAGGAGAAAAUGUUGUUUGUACAUUUUGAGUGAUGGAGUUGACAGAUGAAGACAAGGUUUGGAGUGGGAGUUGAACCAGCAACCCAAGGAACACAGCCUAAAGUCCUCUGCUCUACCAAUUGAGCUAUCGAAGGGUGCUGGGGGAAUAAAGGCAGAAAACAUAGUGGCUGAGACAACACACUAUGCCAAAAGGACUAUUCAUCCCAAUAGUCAAUCAUAAGCCCAGCCCUUCCUGCAGAAAAAAGCUCAGUAGUUUGUACCCAACAGGCAUUGCCAGAGAUCCUGAACUGAUAAUCAGGACUUUUAGGCUGGUUGAAAUAAAAAUAACAACUUGUGGUUGGAACAUAAAGGAGGAGAAAAUGUUGUUUGUACAUUUUGAGUGAUGGAGUUGACAGAUGAAGACAAGGUUUGGAGUGGGAGUUGAACCAGCAACCCAAGGAUCACAGCCUAAAGUCCUCCGCUCUACCAACUGAGCUAUCGAAGGGUGCUGGGGGAACAAAGGCAGAAAACAUAGUGGCUGAGACAACACACUAUGCUCAAAGGACUAUUCAUCCCAAUAGUCAAUCAUAAGCCCAGCCCUUCCUGCAGAAAAAAGCUCAGUAGUUUGUACCCAACAGGCAUUGCCAGAGAUCCUGAACUGAUAAUCAGGACUUUUAGGCUGGUUGAAAUAAAAAUAACAACUUGUGGUUGGAACAUAAAGGAGGAGAAAAUGUUGUUUGUACAUUUUGAGUGAUGGAGUUGACAGAUGAAGACAAGGUUUGGAGUGGGAGUUGAACCAGCAACCCAAGGAUCACAGCCUAAAGUCCUCCGCUCUACCAACUGAGCUAUCGAAGGGAGGUGGGGGAACAAAGGCAGAAAACAUAGUGGCUGAGACAACACACUAUGCCAAAAGGACUAUUCAUCCCAAUAGUCAAUCAUAAGCCCAGCCCUUCCUGCAGAAAAAAGCUCAGUAGUUUGUACCCAACAGGCAUUGCCAGAGAUCCUGAACUGAUAAUCAGGACUUUUAGGCUGGUUGAAAAAAAAUAACAACUUGUGGUUGGAACAUAAAGGAGGAGAAAAUGUGUUUUGUACAUUUUGAGUGAUGGAGUUGACAGAUGAAGACAAGAUUUGGAGUGGGAGUUGAACCAGCAACCCAAGGAUCACAGCCUAAAGUCCUCCGCUCUAACAACUGAGCUAUCGAAGGGUGCUGGGGGAACAAAGGCAGAAAACAUAGUGGCUGAGACAACACACUAUGCCAAAAGGACUAUUCAUCCCAAAAGUCAAUCAUAAGCCCAGCCCUUCCUGCAGAAAAAAGCUCAGUAGUUUGUACCAAACAGGCAUUGCCAGAGAUCCUGAACUGAUAAUCAGGACUUUUAGGCUGGUUGAAAAAAAAUAACAACUUGUGGUUGGAACAUAAAGGAGGAGAAAAUGUUGUUUGUACAUUUUGAGUGAUGGAGUUGACAGAUGAAGACAAGGUUUGGAGUGGGAGUUGAACCAGCAACCCAAGGAUCACAGCCUAAAGUCCUCCGCUCUACCAAUUGAGAUAUGGAAGGGUGCUGGGGGAACAAAGGCAGAAAACAUAGUGCCUGAGACAACACACUAUGCCAAAAGGACUAUUUAUCCCAAUAGUCAAUCAUAAGCCCAGCCCUUCCUGCAGAAAAAAGCUCAGUAGUUUGUACCCAACAGGCAUUGCCAGAGAUCCUGAACUGAUAAUCAGGACUUUUAGGCUGGUUGAAAAAAAAAUAACAACUUGUGGUUGAAACAUAAAGGAGGAGUAAAUGUUGUUUGUACAUUUUGAGUGAUGGAGUUGACAGAUGAAGACAAGGUUUGGAGUGGGAGUUGAACCAGCAACCCAAGGAUCACAGCCUAAAGUCCUCCGCUCUACCAACUGAGCUAUCGAAGGGUGCUGGGGGAACAAAGGCAGAAAACAUAGUGGCUGAGAAAACACACUAUGCCAAAAGGACUAUUCAUCCCAAUAGUCAAUCAUAAGCCCAGCCCUUCCUGCAGAAAAAAGCUCAGUAGUUUGUAUCCAACAGGCAUUGCCAGAGAUCCUGAACUGAUAAUCAGGACUUUUAGGCUGGUUGAAAAAAAAAUAACAACUUGUGGUUGGAACAUAAAGGAGGAGAAAAUGUUGUUUGUACAUUUUGAGUGAUGGAGUUGACAGAUGAAGACAAGGUUUGGAGUGGGAGUUGAACCAGCAACCCAAGGAUCACAGCCUAAAGUCCUCCGCUCUACCAACUGAGCUAUCGAAGGGUGCUGGGGGAACAAAGGCAGAAAACAUAGUGGCUGAGACAACACACUAUGCCAAAAGGACUAUUCAUCCCAAUAGUCAAUCAUAAGCCCAGCCCUUCCUGCAGAAAAAAGCUCAGUAGUUUGUACCCAACAGGCAUUGCCAGAGAUCCUGAACUGAUAAUCAGGACUUUUAGGCUGGUUGAAAAAAAAUAACAACUUGUGGUUGGAACAUAAAGGAGGAGAAAAUGUUGUUUGUACAUUUUGAGUGAUGGAGUUGACAGAUGAAGACAAGGUUUGGAGUGGGAGUUGAACCAGCAACCCAAGGAUCACAGCCUAAAGUCCUCCGCUCUACCAACUGAGCUAUCGAAGGGUGCUGGGAGAACAAAGGCAGAAAACAUAGUGGCUGAGACAACACACUAUGCCAAAAGGACUAUUCAUCCCAAUAGUCAAUCAUAAGCCCAGCCCUUCCUGCAGAAAAAAGCUCAGUAGUUUGUACCCAACAGGCAUUGCCCUUCCUGCAGAAAAAAGCUCAGUAGUUUGUAUCCAACAGGCAUUGCAAGAGAUCCUGAACUGAUAAUCAGGACUUUUAGGCUGGUUGAAAAAAAAAUAACAACUUGUGGUUGGAACAUAAAGGAGGAGAAAAUGUUGUUUGUACAUUUUAAGUGAUGGAGUCGACAGAUGAAGACAAGGUUUGGAGUGGGAGUUGAACCAGCAACCCAAGGAUCACAGCCUAAAGUCCUCCGCUCUACCAACUGAGCUAUCGAAGGGUGCUGGGAGAACAAAGGCAGAAAACAUAGUGGCUGAGACAACACACUAUGCCAAAAGGACUAUUCAUCCCAAUAGUCAAUCAUAAGCCCAGCCCUUCCUGCAGAAAAAAGCUCAGUAGUUUGUAUCCAACAGGCAUUGCCAGAGAUCCUGAACUGAUAAUCAGGACUUUUAGGCUGGUUGAAAAAAAAAUAACAACUUGUGGUUGGAACAUAAAGGAGGAGAAAAUGUUGUUUGUACAUUUUGAGUGAUGGAGUUGACAGAUGAAGACAAGGUUUGGAGUGGGAGUUGAACCAGCAACCCAAGGAUCACAGCCUAAAGUCCUCCGCUCUACCAACUGAGCUAUCGAAGGGUGCUGGGGGAACAAAGGCAGAAAACAUAGUGGCUGAGACAACACACUAUGCCAAAAGGACUAUUCAUCCCAAUAGUUAAUCAUAAGCCCAGCCCUUCCUGCAGAAAAAAGCUCAGUAGUUUGUACCCAACAGGCAUUGCCCUUCCUGCAGAAAAAAGCUCAGUAGUUUGUAUCCAACAGGCAUUGCAGGAGAUCCUGAACUGAUAAUCAGGACUUUUAGGCUGGUUGAAAAAAAAAUAACAACUUGUGGUUGGAACAUAAAGGAGGAGAAAAUGUUGUUUGUACAUUUUGAGUAAUGGAGUUGACAGAUGAAGACAAGGUUUGGAGUGGGAGUUGAACCAGCAACCCAAGGAUCACAGCCUAAAGUCCUCCGCUCUACCAACUGAGCUAUCGAAGGGUGCUGGGGGAACAAAGGAAGAAAACAUAGUGGCUGAGACAACACACUAUGCCAAAAGGACUAUUCAUCCCAAUAGUCAAUCAUAAGCCCAGCCCUUCCUGCAGAAAAAAGCUCAGUAGUUUGUACCCAACAGGCAUUGCAAGAGAUCCUGAACUGAUAAUCAGGACUUUUAGGCUGGUUGAAAAAAAAUAACAACUUGUGGUUGGAACAUAAAGGAGGAGAAAAUGUUGUUUGUACAUAUUGAGUGAUGGAGUUGACAGAUGAAGACAAGGUUUGGAGUGGGAGUUGAACCAGCAACCCAAGGAUCACAGCCUAAAGUCCUCCGCUCUACCAACUGAGCUAUCGAAGGGUGCUGGGGGAACAAAGGCAGAAAACAUAGUGGCUGAGACAACACACUAUGCCAAAAGGACUAUUCAUCCCAAUAGUCAAUCAUAAGCCCAGCCCUUCCUGCAGAAAAAAGCUCAGUAGUUUGUACCCAACAGGCAUUGCCCUUCCUGCAGAAAAAAGCUCAGUAGUUUGUAUCCAACAGGCAUUGCAAGAGAUCCUGAACUGAUAAUCAGGACUUUUAGGCUGGUUGAAAAAAAAAUAACAACUUGUGGUUGGAACAUAAAGGAGGAGAAAAUGUUGUUUGUACAUUUUGAGUGAUGGAGUUGACAGAUGAAGACAAGGUUUGGAGUGGGAGUUGAACCAGCAACCCAAGGAUCACAGCCUAAAGUCCUCCGCUCUACCAACUGAGCUAUCGAAGGGUGCUGGAGGAAUAAAGGCAGAAAACAUAGUGGCUGAGACAACACACUAUGCCAAAAGGACUAUUCAUCCCAAUAGUCAAUCAUAAGCCCAGCCCUUCCUGCAGAAAAAAGCUCAGUAGUUUGUACCCAACAGGCAUUGCCAGAGAUCCUGAACUGAUAAUCAGGACUUUUAGGCUGGUUGAAAAAAAAAUAACAACUUGUGGUUGGAACAUAAAGGAGGAGAAAAUGUUGUUUGUACAUUUUGAGUGAUGGAGUUGACAGAUGAAGACAAGGUUUGGAGUGGGAGUUGAACCAGCAACCCAAGGAUCACAGCCUAAAGUCCUCCUCUCUACCAACUGAGCUAUCGAAGGGUGCUGGGGGAACAAAGGCAGAAAACAUAGUGGCUGAGACAACACACUAUGCCAAAAGGACUAUUCAUCCCAAUAGUCAAUCAUAAGCCCAGCCCUUCCUGCAGAAAAAAGCUCAGUAGUUUGUACCCAACAGGCAUUGCCCUUCCUGCAGAAAAAAGCUCAGUAGUUUGUAUCCAACAGGCAUUGCAAGAGAUCCUGAACUGAUAAUCAGGACUUUUAGGCUGGUUGAAAAAAAAAUAACAACUUGUGGUUGGAACAUAAAGGAGGAGAAAAUGUUGUUUGUACAUUUUGAGUGAUGGAGUUGACAGAUGAAGACAAGGUUUGGAGUGGGAGUUGAACCAGCAACCCAAGGAUCACAGCCUAAAGUCCUCCGCUCUACCAACUGAGCUAUCGAAGGGUGCUGGAGGAAUAAAGGCAGAAAACAUAGUGGCUGAGACAACACACUAUGCCAAAAGGACUAUUCAUCCCAAUAGUCAAUCAUAAGCCCAGCCCUUCCUGCAGAAAAAAGCUCAGUAGUUUGUACCCAACAGGCAUUGCCAGAGAUCCUGAACUGAUAAUCAGGACUUUUAGGCUGGUUGAAAAAAAAAUAACAACUUGUGGUUGGAACAUAAAGGAGGAGAAAAUGUUGUUUGUACAUUUUGAGUGAUGGAGUUGACAGAUGAAGACAAGGUUUGGAGUGGGAGUUGAACCAGCAACCCAAGGAUCACAGCCUAAAGUCCUCCGCUCUAUCAACUGAGCUAUCGAAGGGUGCUGGGAGAACAAAGGCAGAAAACAUAGUGGCUGAGACAACACACUAUGCCAAAAGGACUAUUCAUCCCAAUAGUCAAUCAUAAGCCCAGCCCUUCCUGCAGAAAAAAGCUCAGUAGUUUGUACCCAACAGGCAUUGCCCUUCCUGCAGAAAAAAGCUUAGUAGUUUGUAUCCAACAGGCAUUGCAAGAGAUCCUGAACUGAUAAUCAGGACUUUUAGGCUGGUUGAAAAAAAAAUAACAACUUGUGGUUGGAACAUAAAGGAGGAGAAAAUGUUGUUUGUACAUUUUGAGUGAUGGAGUUGACAGAUGAAGACAAGGUUUGGAGUGGGAGUUGAACCAGCAACCCAAGGAUCACAGCCUAAAGUCAUCCGCUCUACCAACUGAGCUAUCGAAGGGUGCUGGGAGAACAAAGGCAGAAAACAUAGUGGCUGAGACAACACACUAUGCCAAAAGGACUAUUCAUCCCAAUAGUCAAUCAGAAGCCCAGCCCUUCCUGCAGAAAAAAGCUCAGUAGUUUGUACCCAACAGGCAUUGCCAGAGAUCUUGAACUGAUAAUCAGGACUUUUAGGCUGGUUGAAAAAAAAAUAACAACUUGUGGUUGGAACAUAAAGGAGGAGAAAAUGUUGUUUGUACAUUUUGAGUGAUGGAGUUGACAGAUGAAGACAAGGUUUGGAGUGGGAGUUGAACCAGCAACCCAAGGAUGACAGCCUAAAGUCCUCCGCUCUACCAACUGAGCUAUGGAAGGGUGCUGGGGGAACAAAGGCAGAAAACAUAGUGGCUGAGACAACACACUAUGCCAAAAGGACUAUUCAUCCCAAAAGCCAAUCAUAAGCCCAGCCCUUCCUGCAGAAAAAAGCUCAGUAGUUUGUACCCAACAGGCAUUGCCAGAGAUCCUGAACUGAUAAUCAGGACUUUUAGGCUGGUUGAAAAAAAAAUAACAACUUGUGGUUGGAACAUAAAGGAGGAGAAAAUGUUGUUUGUACAUUUUGAGUGAUGGAGUUGACAGAUGAAGACAAGGUUUGGAGUGGGAGUUGAACCAGCAACCCAAGGAUGACAGCCUAAAGUCCUCCGCUCUACCAACUGAGCUAUGGAAGGGUGCUGGGGGAACAAAGGCAGAAAACAUAGUGGCUGAGACAACACACUAUGCCAAAAGGACUAUUCAUCCCAAAAGCCAAUCAUAAGCCCAGCCCUUCCUGCAGAAAAAAGCUCAGUAGUUUGUACCCAACAGGCAUUGCCAGAGAUCCUGAACUGAUAAUCAGGACUUUUAGGCUGGUUGAAAAAAAUAACAACUUGUGGUUGGAACAUAAAGGAGGAGAAAAUGUUGUUUGUACAUUUUGAGUGAUGGAGUUGACAGAUGAAGACAAGGUUUGGAGUGGGAGUUGAACCAGCAACCCAAGGAUCACAGCCUAAAGUCCUCCGCUCUACCAACUGAGCUAUCGAAGGGUGCUGGGAGAACAAAGGCAGAAAACAUAGUGGCUGAGACAACACACUAUGCCAAAAGGACUAUUCAUCCCAAUAGUCAAUCAUAAGCCCAGC